UUGAAGAUGAUGAGCAUGAUGUUAAUACUCAAGGAAUAGAAGAAUUGGACAAUCUUAAUGAACUAGAAGAGUUUUAGAUUGAACCAUUAUUAAUUUAGAUUUGAUUUUUCUUUUUUGGGUUUUUUUUGCUUCGUUGAACUGAUUUGUUGGUGUUUCAUUUGAACUUUUGCUUAAAUAUAUUGUCUUUAUUGUUGAUUAUAUAGUUGUUGUGGUCUUUUCAGUUAUAACUUACUAUUUGAAUGCUCUAUAGAUAUUUUUUUUAUUAAAUUGCGCUUCACUUCAAUGAUGCGGUCGCAUCGCAUAAUGCGUGAUGCAGAGCCUUGUUGCUUUUUUCUGCAUCACGCUUCCCUGAACACUGGUUUUCAAGCUGCGGGAUCAAAGGCCACAACCGAGCAAUAUGAAGAGUGAACUUCAGCCAAGAACUACAAUACUGACAUCAGUGACAACCCAUAUUCAAGAUCACAAAGUAUGAAGGAAUCAUGAAGCAUAACAAUCUUAAACACUGCUUGCUUUCUUUCUUUUGUUUUUUUGGUAAAAUCAGACAGAGAUUUCNNNNNNNNNNNNNNNNNNNNNNNNNNNNNNNNNNGGGGGCGGGGGGAUAUACUUGAAAAGUUUUUUAUCUUGUCUUCAUAGCUAAGCGAUUAGUGAUCAUCUGUGGAAAGUCUAAGUCGUUUGUAAUAUAAUUACACAAAAUGUUUGCCAAGAAAUGGACAGCAAACAUAUUGGUUUUUAUUUUCUUUCACAUAGUAACUAUUUGUCAAUGUCCACCUUCUUGUAGUUGGGACAAAGACCCAAGUGCGGCCAACUGCACUGCACUUGGGGGAUUUUUUAUCUGUAGCUUGGACAAUUGCAGGCCUCGAGAGCGGCCAGCACUAGGCAAGUACAAACAGCACUGCAGAAUUUCAUAUUUUUGUACAAAUAGUCGGGUUUCGUGAUUUUAUUUCACUCUUCAUCAUUUUGAGAUUGUACAAAUAGUCAUGACUAAGUUAUGCAUUCUCACAUGCUAUGAAAGUUUGCGAACAAUUGUGUUUCCACUGUAAAGUCCUUUUAUGAGAAGCUUCUAGUGAGGGUGGAGGCGGCUUUUCCUGUAAAGUCGAUUUGGAUUCCUAAGAUGCCAAGGAAGGUGUGUGUUUUUUCACAUGGUUAGCUACUAGCGGGGUCAUCUUGACGGCAGAAUACCUUAGGAAAAGAAAGGCUCACCUGAUGGGUUGGUUAGAUGCCAUCAUGGCUUAGAAAAAUUGGGUCAUGGCAAAUGCCUAUCAUAAAGCUUGGAUACAUAAAGUUUAACAUCCAUAAAGAUAUACUACCUCAACAGGAGUUGCCAAGAUCAGAAGAUACUGAAUGGCCUCCACGAAAAUUCCAGGUUUGACUUUGGCUAGGCCAACAACGCAUAUAGCUUGUUCAUCUCCGCUAUAUUCAGGACAGUGGCCAUCCCUAAGCAAAACAUGAUACCAUCAGCAGAAUAAGAAUCCACAAAAUAUAUAUAUAUAAUGAGAUAACAAGCCAAAAGAAACUAAAGCUUUAGUUUUAGUUUACCACCUUUUUUGCUAGGCAAAGUAACGAUUGUAUUGGUAGAAAGGGCAUCAUAAAGGGAAUGUUGUUAGGAAGUACAUCCCAGAAGAGGACAUUACUAACUAGAUAACAAUAACAAUAAAACAAGAUCCCGCACAUCAUUGCCCAUAUGAACAACAGACUUCAAUAUUUUGAACUUUAUUACCACAAAAUAAUCCCAUUCUGAAAUUCUCAAUACAUAGCUCGUUACAUGCAUAAUGAAAGAACAACUCUAAAAGAUCUCAUUUGAUACAAACAGGACCUUGACUGUGGAUGACUUAAAGGCUCAUGCUUUUCGAACUUGUUAGAUAGUUUGGGGCUUGGAGGCUAACGCAGAAAAGUAUUUGAUACCACAAGGACUAUACUAUAUUCAGGUAAAAUUAGAUCUAUCAAUGCUCAAAGAUAGACUCCAAACAAUUAAACUUGAAAGACAGUGUGAAAACUCAAACAAUGAAACUUAAAAUUGUUCUAUGUAAACAGUCACCAACUAAGAUAUACGGAUUUAACACCUCGGGAAAUGCAAAUAUGUUUUGUUCUCGGCAUAGUUUGGUAGAUGGUUAUAGCUGAAUUAUUCAGAAGUUUUGUGCACACCUGGUGUGAUACUAACUAAUAAUAGUUAAGCCACGCCUAUAGCUGAUGGGAUAUAGAAAAUCCCGAGCUGGUGUGAUGUUAAUUAAAUACUAGUGACUUGACGAAUUUUGUUUAUUCUCACCACUUAUCAAACCGCCAAAGAAACAAUGUGUUGUCCACCGAUGCCCAAGCUCUACGUAUUUCAGGAAAUAUUCCACAUAAUGCAGUUCCUUCUCCGCUGGAUGCAUUAUAUCUCUCAAUCAAUACAGAUGGCAACUCCCAAGAAUCCACGACUUCCACUAAAGGAGGCCACUACAACAGUGACAUGAAUGAACAGAUUUAGUGCCUUCCCAAAGCAAGAAAGAAUAAAAGAUGUUUGAUGUAGAUAAAAAUUGCAAGAUGAAAUCAUAACAGGACUGCAAAUGUUAAUGUCAAAUAAUACAAUUUAAAGCUGUUAAAUAGAGAAAUAGUAACAUAGGAAACACGAUCAGUAUUAUUGCUAAGUGUGAGUAUGAUGGUAAAUAAUUGAAGCCCCGCAAAUCUUACACAUGCUACAAUCACUUCUUCGGUCAGUUGUCUGAGAUUAGAUUAAAGCCAUUGUUACAGAAUAUGACAUUUGGAACAUGCAUUAUUGGAACUACCAAUUAUGAAAUUACUCCAUUAACACAAAAAAAUAAUAAAUAAAGCCUUGAGAAUAUAUCCUCCCAUAUAUGUUUUUCUUUUAUUUUCUUCUUUAAUACGCCUCCGUAAAAUAAUAUGUUUUAAGGAUAAUCUACUUUUUCUACUUCAAACAGAUCAAGACAUCAAUGGACAUUGCUAAGAGAACAAGGAAUUUAUAUUUUUAAAUUUGCAAAUUGCAGGUAACAUCAAUUGUGACUUUGGAUUUUCCUUUAUGUCUGCAGUGCUUCUUGCUUCCUCUUCCAUUUCAGCGUGUAGUAAUAUUCCUUCAGUUUGACACUCUCCUUUUUAUCUUUUUCAUUUGUACUUUAUAAUAUUACAUUUUUUUAUUCCUUUGAAUUGUAUACUUUGUAUCCCUUUCCCGAUGAGCAUCUAACUUUCAUUGUUACAGUUGUUACAAAAGGAUAAGUCACGAAAUAGAAACUCAUUAGAGAGAGGAAAACAAGAAAAAGCAAUGUUAAUAAAGAAGAGAAGGAAAUAUAGUGUAGCUAUGCAGGUUACGCCUGCUUUGUCUGGGGUGGCUUGCCCACGCCAUUCUCAUCCCUAAUUCUAUGACGAACCAUACUUCAUAAACUGACAAAUAAUAUCAUAAGGAUAGACCCUUGAGAAACUAAUUUAGAAUUUGAGAAUAGACAUUAUAAGCGUUUUUAUAUCUAUGGCAUUUGGAUGGGAAAAAUGGUUGCAAAUUCUUUUUUCCAACUUUGUCUGUUUUGGUUGUUUUUUUGAAAAGAACGGAACUCUUUGUCCGAGCUCUUUAAUAAAAUUCAACUUCUUCUAAAAAUUGAAAAACUACAAUAACAAGAAAAGGCUUCGCUAAUAAACUAAGUCCACAAAACUUGAAAAAACUCUUUUGCAAAAAAAUGUUUCACCACCUCUCCAACCAAACCCAAAGAAACUCUUACUCCCUAUAUUUUAAAUUUAGCUUUCCACAAAAAAUGUAGAAUCUUCGAAGUCUGAAGAUAAUGGUGACAACUGCCAACAUAAGCAAAAAAACAUUUAAAAAUCAAACCAAUAAUCUCAAUAAUUCACAUGCUUAUAAUGAAUUUCAUUGGUGGUUACCUCACGGGGUUGAGCAGUAUAGGGAUGACUGGCAUAUCUAGAAGCUUCCAAGGCGUCUUCAAGAUCGAUUCGCAAAGAAACAUCACGGCCAAUGCGGUCACUAACUACAAUUCCCGCAUUAAUAACGUCACGCAUCACAAUCUCAUUGUCCCCAGACAUAUUCGGAAUACCUCAAGAGCUCAAAAAAUUCAAGAUUCCCUAGGGCUUGAAGAAACAUCACGGCCAAUGCGGUCACUAACUACAAUUCCCGCAUGAAUAACGUCACGCAUCACAAUCUCAUUGUCCCCAGACAUAUUCUGAAUACCUCAAGAGCUCAAAAAAUUCAAGAUUCCCUAGGGCUUGAACUCAGCUUAGCUGUAGUACUAAUCCAAGCCCUAGAUGGAACUAUUGUAAAUCCUACAACCUUCUUAAUGCAGUGAGCAACUGGAAAUUUGCACUGGAGAGUAUGAAGGCUAUCAACCUUUGCAUCUGCUAAUAGCUUAAUUUGUUACUACUAGUCUUCGUCAACUAGUUUAUAUUCCUGUCUGCAUAGAACAUCGAAACUUCAUUUUUUUUCUUCAAGUACAAUAAAUGUCCAAACACAAAUUCAAACAACUAUUUUUCAACAACAUACCAAGAGUAGUCCCACAAAGUGGGGUCUUGAGAGGGUAGAGCAUAUACAAACCUUACAUCUACCUCAGGGGUGAGGUAGCGAGGCUGUUUCACGUAGACCCCCGGCUCUAGAAAAAGGCGUAAUGGAAAUACAAGAGACAAUAGAUUGUAGUAAAAACAAUAGAUAGUAGCAGAACAGUACUACAACGAAGUACGAACAAUAGAAUGUAGCAGAAAUCCGAUAAGAAGAAACUAUAAGAGUAUCCCAACGACUACUAGUAAAGGCAACAAGAUAAUGCACCCCUACCUACUACAACAAAUAUUUUUCAACAAACUUCAAAAACCCUUCUGUUUCUUUUUCAAGUUUCGACUAAAUCUAUGGCCGAAUCCCUAACUUAAUUUCAAUUCACAAAAGAAAACAAUGCAGGCAAUUAGCAUAGUAGUAUCAGCCUUGUGUCUCUUUAACGAUUUUCUAUUCUAUCAAAUAGUAACAAAAGGGUAGAAAAAGAAGGAAACUAAGAACUUAAUAUGUUACUACUAGUCGUCUUCAACUAGUUUCUAUUCUUGUCUGCAUAGACUAACAAAAUUUCAAUUUUUUUCCAAGUACAAUAUAUGUCCAAACACAAAUUCAAAUUACAAAAACUAUUUUUCAACAAACUUCAAAACUCCUUUUUUUUUCAUGUUCAAACCUAAAUCUGUGGAGAAAUCGCUAACUUAAUUUCAAUUAACAAAGAAAAAAAUGCAGACAAUUAGGAAGAUUUGUAGAAAAUCUAUUGGCAUAGCAGCAUGAAUCCUAAUAUAUUAAUAUCUUACUGCUAGCCUUCUUCAACUUAAUAUAUUACUACUGGUCUUAUUCAGCUAGUUUCUAUUUUUUCUGCAUAGAGUACCAAAUAGUCUGGAAAGAAAAUAGAAAAAGAAGGAAAGAACUUUUGGAGGAACCAGUUUUUGAAAAUCUAUCUUCAAAGACUAAUCCAGACUUGUUUUAGGAUUUUAGGGUGAAAUUUCACUUCCGCUCACAAAGCUUCAAUUUUUUCUCCGAGUACAAUACAUGUCCAAACAAAAAUUCAAAUCCCAACAAACUUCCAGAUCUCUUCUUUUUUUUUCAAAGCUUCAACUAAAUCUAUGGCCAAACGCAACGCCGCAACCUUAAUUUCAUUGCACCAAAGAAGGAAGACGAUGACCAGGAAUAAUAGAAAUAAUUGGAAAGAGGGAGACAAAGAAAAAGACGCAAUAGGAGAUGGGAACAUUCAGACGGAGAGAUAAUUUCAUUGGCCAAGUAAAAAAGUUAAAUUUAAAAUAAAAUUUAUCUUUAUAAUAGGUAGACCUCAAAAAUUCAACCAAGAUAUUUUAUCAUUAUCAAUUAAACUAUUCAAUAUCCAACUAAAAUAAAAAAUAAUAAAAGAUCAACAAAACACAACUCAAGAAUGACAAAACAGAAUGAUAAUGUAAAAAUUAUAACAAAUACGUAGGAAAAUGACAGUACAAAAACGAAAAAUAAAAAUUAAAUCAAAUACCUUUAAAAAUCAUGAAAGAAGUUGCAACAACACUAAGAGAAAAUAACAUUCUAAUAUUAACAUUAAACUUCGAACAAAGAAUCUCAAAUUAAAAGGCAUUAACAUUGUCAUAAGACAUAAUUGAUCAAUUCAAGAGCAAUUUGAAUAUAUGUAGACCCACAUGUAAUAAUACGAAAAAUAAAAGUUGUGGAGGUCAAAUCUCGAUGGGAUCUGAAUUUUACCGGAGUUAUGACUUGAGAUUACCGAAUUCUGUGCUUCUCUGGUGUUGUUGUUGUUUUCCGUGGAGGUUGUUUGGGGAUGGAGAAACGGAGAGAAAGGAGGGAUGGGGGCGGCAGCGGGCUGACGGACUUGAAACAGCGUGCGGCGGCGUUCCGGUUGCUGGUUCGCCGGUAUCACUGGUUCGUUGUUGUCUGGAGCUUGUCGGUCAUCAACUCCGUCGAGCCAAUGGUGGAGCAGCGGGUAGAGGAGAAAGGACGAGCGGCGGUGGCCUUUUGGUGGUUUUCCGACGGUAAUGAAGGGAUGUAGGGAAGAAAGAGAGAGAGGACGAAGGGGUGCGGUGGUGGUGCUAUUGGGCAAAAUCCACCGGAGCUCCGGUGGUGGUGGGGCGGAAAUGAAGGGAAAAGGGGGAGUGAGGAUUUGGUCUGUGUGUUGGUGUGUUAGGGUGCAUUUGUUUUUUUAAAUUAAGAAGUCAAUUGACGAUGAAGAUAUUGUAUCUACAUCUCAAUAAUAAAUGAUUAAAAUUGUUUAUUUUUUUAAUAUUUAAAUAUAUGUAAUUUAUUUAUAAUAAAUAUGUAAUUUAAAAUUAAAAAGUAAUAAAAUAUUAUAUUAUCUAAAAAAUAUUAUAUCAUACAAUCACUUUCAGUUUCAUUUCGAAAUUAUCAAUUUAAUCAAUGUUUUUUGACGGAGUAGUAUGAAACUCUAUAAGUAGGAUACUUUCGAUAGACCCUCGGUUUAGAAUAUUGAGAAGCUAAAAUAAUGUAAUGAUCCUUAUAGUCAUUUUCCUGUAUUUUUAUAUAAUUUUAGUAUUAUCUAAACGUUUCGUGGUUUAUUUAAUUUAAUUUGGCAUUUUGUAGAAAUAUAAUUUAGUACCCUUCUAGAAUAUUUUCGAUAUUGGUAAAAGCGUGACCGUGUUAUUGCGAUGCAUCUGGUGUUGGUUUGGGGUCCGCUGUGAGAUUUACUGAUCACCGCAGUCUUCAGUAUAUUAUGACCCAAAAGGAGCUUAAUUCAAGACAGCGCAGGUGGAUUGAGUUGCUGAAAGACUAUGAUAUCUCUAUUCUCUACCAUCCGGGCAAGGCGAAUGUAGUAGCGGAUGCCUUGAAUCGGAAGUCGGGUAGCUUAGCUUUCAUUUCAGCUUCUCAGCGGCCGUUGGCUUUGGACAUUCAGUCUCUAGCUAACAUGAUGGUUCGUUUGGAUAUUUCUGACCCUCGAAGAAUCAUUGCUAGUGUUGAGGCCAGAUCCACCUUGUUGGAGCAGAUUCGGAGUCGUCAGUUUGAGGAUGAUAGACUUCGCAGCCUUCGAGAGCGGGUGUUGAGGGGUGAGUUUCAGCGGGCUACCCUAGAUUCUGAGGGUGUAUUGAGGUUUGACGGUCGUAUUUGCGUUCCAAGGGUUGGAGAUUUAAUCUAGUUGAUUCUUCAUGAGGCUCAUAGCUCCAGAUACUACAUUCACCCCGGGACAACUAAGAUGUACAGAGAUUUGAGGCAGCAUUACUAGUGGAAUGGUAUGCGGAGAGAUAUAACAGGGUUUAUGGCUCGAUGUCUUUGUUGUCAGCAAGUAAAGGCCGAGCAUCAGAGGCCUGGUGCACUGUUGCAGCAGCUAUCCAUUCCCGAGUGGAAAUGGGAGUAAAUUACUAUGGAUUUUGUAGAUGGAUUGCCUCAUACAUAGCGUGGUUUUGAUAGCAUUUGGGUCAUCGUGGAUCGAUUGACCAAGUCUGCACAUUUUAUCCCCGUUCGAGUUUCCUACAGUGCCGAGAGGUUAGCUCGUGUUUACACUCAGGAGGUGGUUCACCUACAUGGGGUCUCUGUGUCCAUUAUUUCUGGCCGAGGCUCUCAGUUCACUUCUAGCUUUUGGAGGGCAUUUCAAGAGAAGUUGGGGACCCAGGUUGACCUUAGCACAACUUUUCAUCCCCAGACUGAUGGGAAAUCAGAGCGAACUAUCCAGGUUUUAGAGGAUAUGCUCUGCGCUUGUGUGUUAGAUUUUGGAGGUCAGUGGGACCAGUUUUUACCUUUUGCAGAGUUUGCUUAUAAUAACAGCUUUCACUCGAGUAUUCAGAUGGCCCCAUUUGAGGCAUUGUAUGGUAGGAGAUGCCGAUCUCCUGUUGGUUGGUUUGAGACUUCUAAGGCUAAACCUCGUGGCACAGAUUUGCUUCGUGAUUUGUUGGAUCAGGUUCGAGUGAUUCAGGAUAGGCUACGAGCAUCUCAGAGCAGACAGAUGAGUUAUACUGAUCGCAGACGUCGUCCAUUGAGUUUCAGAGUUGGUGAUAGGGUCUUCCUGUAAGUAUCACCUAUGAAGGGCAUGAUAAGGUUCGGGAGGAGAGGCAAGCUUAGCCCUAGAUAUAUUGGACCUUUUGAGAUCUUAUAGAGAGUUGGGGAGAUAGCUAAUGUGUUGGCAUUGCCACCUGCCUUCUCAGCCAUUCACCCGGUGUUUCACGUAUCUAUGUUGCGGUAGUAUAUCUCAGAUGAGUCACAUGUACUUCGGUGGGACUUGGUUUAGUUGGACGAGGGAUUGACGUUUGUAGAGAAGCCAACAUCUAUUUUGGCGAGAGAUGUUAGGCGGUUGCGCUCCAGGGAUAUUCCGGUAGUUAAGGUUCAGUGGCAUCACCGUCCGGUUGGGGAGGCUACCUGGCAGAUCGAGCGUGAUAUAUGCACCCAGUAUCCCUACCUAUUUGAGUCUUUAGGUAUAACCUUAUCUUAUACUUUCGCGGACGAAAGACAUUUUAGUAGUGGAUGUUGUAAUGAUCCUUACGGUCAUUUUCCUGUAUUUUUAUAUAAUUUUGGUAUUAUCUAAACGUUUCGUGGUUUAUUUAAUUUAAUUUAGCAUUUCGUAGAAAUAUAAUUUAGUACCCUUCUAGAAUAUUUUCGAUAUUGGUAAAAUUCUUUAAGUCAUGAUAUAUUUAUAUUAAUUUAUAAUAGAUUUUUUACAUGAUUUAUUAAUAUUUUAUGCGGAGAUAGUAAAUUUAAAAAUAUUAAAAUAUUAUUAUUAUAUAAUAUAGGUUUUGUUAGAAAUCUAUUAAUUAUGAUAUAUUUAAAAUAUUAUAAUUAUUUUAUCAUGAAUUUAUGCAAUACACGAAUAUAUACGAAAUAGGAUUAAUUUAAUAAAUAUAUGUAUCUAUAUAUAUAUGGUGCAAGCUGCUUAAAUAGAAAAGUGGACCACGUGCUGCCACUUGUCUCAACCAUAGCCUAACUUACUUUUAUAUAUACAUGGUACCUUUUGACCUUUUAAAGGAAGGAAAACUUUUUGAUUGUAUGCAUAUGCACGUCCAUAUUGCUAUAUUGUCCUUUGUCGGUUUGCUUCUGUUUUUUUCAGUUUUUGUCAGUUUUUCUUGGUUAGUCUCAUAAAAUUUAAUAUAAGUUAAUUAUUCGAAUCAAUCAUUCAAGCUCGGGUUCUAUUAGUAUUAUUUAGAGGUUUCGCGGACAGAUAUUCUAGUUUUGACGUCUAGGUAGGCUAGGUUUACCCUACUUUUAGAUUGAGCUUAUAUACCGAAAUUGCGAACUAUUAUGCUAGCUUUGAAUAAAUACUUGUAGAUGCAUAUUAUUUGAUUUAUAUAAAUUGCCUUGUUUAUUGGGAUUAGGACCCCGUUCUAGUAAAUAUUGAAAAAUUAUCUUUUAACAUAAUAUAGCAUCUAUUACUUUAGAACGUGAAGCUAAAUUGCAAAAUCUUGAAUUUAUUCCUUUUUAAUUAAGAUUAACGAAUGAUUAUUUAGACAUUGACAUUGUUAUAAUAUAGAAUGGAUUUUAAUAUUAUCGGUGGGUUAUGGUUACUAUAACUUCCAGUUUGAGUCCGGCAAUUGAUUAUUAUGAUUACUAUGAGUACCAGUUCGAGUCCGGCAAUUGACUCCGAUUUGACUCCAACAUCUAAUUAUAGUUGGGGUUACUCUGAGUUCCGGUUCGAGUCCGACAUCUGAUUGUUUAUGUUUGCUUUCAUCACUUGUGUGUCCCACCAGCUUAUGGGGGUACGGUUGAGUUAAUUGUCUUUUUUAGUGUGCAAGCAGGCUUAUUGUCACGACCCGAACUGGGGUCCUGGCCAUGAUGAGCAUUCCGAACCAUAAAGGCCCGGAACACCCCUAUCUAUCUGGUAAUCAUGCACAUGACUUAUAUGACAAUGGAAAUGCGGAAGAUACACAAUAUAACGGAAACAUGAACAAGAAUCAUAUGAAAACAAUAAUGGAGAAUAAUGUCCCACAAUCUCAAUCAACAUCUCAAAAGCGUCUGCGAAAUCUCUACUACAUAACUGAAACAAAUAGCUAUCUGAAAACUGGGACAAGGCCCCCAGCAGACCCAAAACUACUAAAUGAUAACUGUAAUAGCAGACAUCAGGCCUUCCAAAAAAUAGAAGGCUCACCACUUGAUUCUGCGAUCUGUCGGAAGGAAUUACUGGUUAUCUGGACUCCUAGACUGUGCCUCCGAACCUGGGAGGGAAGGGGGUCAAUACAAAAGUACUGGUACACAGAGAAAUAAAAAACAGAAAUAUAAUAUUUUUACAAAAUAUAGGUGAGAGCCAUUAUAAAGCAAUUUCAUAUCUAAUCAUUUGAAAAGUACAUGGGUAUAAUGCAAUAGUUUUUCAACAACAAUGCAAUGCAGCCGAGCUAGGUGGAAUACCCUACAUAAUUUACACCAACUGUUAAACCUCGAUUGCCGCCGAGAUUAGAGUAUACGUGAGGGGAAGACACAGAAGAUCACACAGCAGGGUGUCUCGACCCAAUCAAGUAUGUUAGUGCCCAAGAUCACUUAGCUCGGGCUCCUAACCAUAGUCCCAAUUUGGGAAUGACAUAAAGUCAAGUACACAAGAUCACUUAGCCUGGUACCAAAUUCCCGUGUCGGCAAGCACAGUUUCCAGCGAUGAGCCAUUACACUAAACGCCUUCUUCGGGCAUCCACCUAUUUCAUGUAAAAUCAAUGCAUUCAACUCCAUUUAAUUCAAUCACAUAUCAUGUUCUGUAGGGUAUCGUCAUACCCGACUUGCAAGCCAUCAAUAUCACAUCAUUCUUUCAUGCAGCCAUUCUGUUCAUCAUAUUUCAACAUAACAAUUCUCUCCUUGCAAGUCAAAAAUCAUAUUCACUUUCAAAAUAUUUCAUGUCAUGCUCGUCAAGAUGAUUUCAAAACAAUUCACAUCAUAUGAAAAUUCAAAACAAUUUCAUAUCAAGAGAGGGAUUUCAUAUCAUUCAUGCUCUCAAUUUAACAUCUUUUUGGAAUACAUGCAUAUACAUAUAUCAUAUAUCAAAACACUUUGGGAAUAGUCCUAAAGACUAAAUCAAUAUCAUAAAAUGUUUAAAACAUAAUCAUAUUCGUAAUUUCAAAACCCCCAUUUUGAAAAUAUGAAUUUUUAAAACCCAUGAGAUUUUUAGGAUAACCCCACGUACCUCUAUAUGCGAAGAUGAUAGGUGUUUCUUGAAGCCUACGUUCUGGGAAUUCCAAAUAUGCAAUUAGUUUCAAAAACCCAUGGUUGAAUCUUGAAUUGCUUGGGUUUUUAUUUUGAAACUCUAAGGAGAGUUCUUGAGCAAUUUUGAUGAAUGAAGGUGUAUUUUGGAGUAUUUGGGGUUAAAUUCCAUGUUAGAGGUGAUAAGGGAACAAAAAAUUACCAAAACACCCUUAAUGAGACAAAACUUAAAAGCUGAAAAAUUUUCAUGUGUGAACAGACCAUGCGUCGCAUGCUAUUUCCAAUAGCAGUGGAGCAUGCGACGCAUGCUAUAUCGCAUGCUGGCACCAUGCGAUAGAGCAUGCGACGCAUGCUUAUCGCAUGGUGCUACUAUUUUGAAAUUCAAACACGCCUUAAACGAUGUUCAAAAAUUUUGAAACUCACCCGAGACGUAGUACGACCUUGCCCCAUCGCAAUGUAACAAGAAAAUAUAAAAACAGACGUUGGGAAGGUUGAAAAGUUAUAUCCCGAAGAUUGCGAGCUAAAAUGACUCUAAGUCCUCAUUACACUUAGAAUAAAUUUCAAGUUUUUAAGUCUAAGAGCACUCUAUUAAAGGCUAAUCCAUGCACGACUUUUACAGGGUGUUACACUUAUGGGGCUCAGUUAAGUUAUGUUUGAUUUAAUUGUUAUUACUGCAUUAUUAUUUUUCUGUAUCGCACAAGUUUAUUCCUUUACAGUUGUUGCAUAGCUUGAUAGUUGUUUACUUUUCCAUCCUAUUUACUAAUAACUUAGAUUACGUCCUUGCAUUGUAGUUAUACCUUUUCUAUAUUAAGCUCAGUCAGCCGAUGAUGCCUACUGAGUACCCGUGUUUUUUGGUACUCAUACUACACUUCUACAUCUUUUUCAUGAUGCAGAUCUAGGUACUAGUAGUCGGCGUUGACGUGGUUCCUACCUUUUAGUGCUGGUUUAGAGCGGGGUGAGUUUAUUGUCGUCCGAGGCUGAUCCUCCUCUAUCUACUUGAGUUAGUCUUUUUCACUCGAGACUACUUAUGUACAUUUUAGAUUUUUGUCUAGUACCCUAGGUACCUGUUAGUAGUGGCUCUAGUACUGACCUUAUUAGGUCUUGGGAGGAAUUCAUUUGUAUAGUUGGUCCUUUUUCCUCCUCUCAUUUCGAUAUAAUACAUAUGCUAUUUUCUUAGUUUUCACUUAUUAUUGUGGUUGUUAUUAUCAUACGUGAUCUUUUACUUUGUCUCUGUCUCUUAGCCCAUUACCUAUCAUUUCUGGCUAUGGUUUGGCUUGCCUACUGGUGGGAUAAGGUAGGAGCCAUCACGACUUGAGAAAUUGGGUCGUGACAAAUAAUAAUACAUAUUAUAAUGGCAUCAAAGAACGUGCUAAUAGGACUGUACAAAGUAGCAAAAGAAUAAUUAAAGUGUUCCACUUCUAAUCUUAAACGAAUUCUAAUGUUUGUUAUUUUAUUUAUUUACAUGUUCUAUCCUACACGAUGAUCAAAACAACAAUAUGCGUCUAUGUGUAUUCUUGCAAAAACUAAAGUGAAGUAAAACAAGCUACAUAUCGAUCUUUUCCACUUUUAUUUAUACAGGGUGAAUUAGGAAGAUUAAAUAUGAUUUCAAUUGAAGAUCCAAUUAUAUCUUCUGGAGUAGAACAUGGAUAUAGAGCAGCAAAUAGUACAUGCUUAAAUUGAUAAUAAAAAUAUUUAUAAAUAGUUUUAGUGAACAUACCUGAAAGAGAAGGAAAAUAAUGUGAAGAGGAAGAGGAAGAGAGAGAGAGAAACGUGAGGAGAGAGAGAGCAAUAUGAAGAGAGGAUGGGAGAACAGCGUAUUUAGAAAAAAUAAUAAAGUUUGAGACUUGUGAGGAAAUAAAUUGUGUUUAAACAGAGUUUGAAUGCCAUUCAGACUCUUUUCCAUAUCUGACUGAUUCAGAGGUUUUAAGAUGUUUUAAGGGGAAAAGACUCAUUUCCAGUCCAAACUAUAUAAUAAAAAGUUAAAUCCACACCUAAACUAUAUAAGUGACCUAUUACACACCUUAACUAUAUAAAAGUGAAACUUCUUACACCCUGUAAAGCAUUAUACCACUUGCAUUUGGUAUGGUGUUGUACAUGUGCCUGCUAUGUUAGCGCCACAUCAUCAUGAUACGAAAAAAAUAAUAAAUUUAUUAUUUUCAUAAAUUUUUCUUGAUUAUGAAAAACUUUUAGUGAUUUUCAUAGGGACAGGUUCAGCAAAAUUGGAACAGAAAUAUGAUGCUAAAAGUGCCUCAAAAUGGGGUGUUUUUGGAUUACUACUUAAUGAAAGCUCUAAACACCGAUGCUGAUGUCAAAUCAAAGAUCAAACAAUGUGGAAAUUGUACCACAAAAUGCUGAGGUUUUCUUGACAUAGGAAGAUUGAAAAUUGUGAACUUUGAAAUCUUUUGUACGUAUUUGUAGCUUCGAUGGGGCGAUAAUUAAUUUCGAUGGUUGAAUUGAAUUGGGGGAAGAAAAAGAAGGAGGAAUUUCACCCAUUGUUAAUCAUUCGAAACUCAUUAGCAACUUGAAAUUGAAAUUUUCAGUUUGGGUAUUUUUGAAUUUGGAGAAGAAGAAGAAGAUGGAUGCUGAGGACUUUUGAAUUUGAAGAAGAAGAAGGAUGUUUAGAAACCUUCAAAAAUUCUAAACAUCUUUUUUUUAGUUUGGGGAUUUUUGAAUUUGGAGAAGAAAAAGAAAAUGAAUUUGAAUUGGAAUUUUCAGUUUUAAGUUUUUUUUUGUGUUAUUUUUUAAUUUAGAUGCGCCUAUUUUUAAUUAAAUAAUUAUAUUUUUUCCACGUCAGAUUUAGGGGGUAAAAAAAAAGUAUUCAAAUCACAAAACUGUUACAAUAAAUCAGCUUUAAAACCACCUUGCUAUAACAAAAUUAAAAUUUCAAAUUAAUUUGCUAUAUCAAAAGCUGGAUUCAAGAACAGAUUGCUAUAUCAAAAAUAAGAUUCAUAGACUAGUCUAAUAAUACCAAUUGAACUGUCUACGAAAUAACAAUCAUGUCUAUAUUAUUACAAUCAAACUGUGACCUCAUUGACCUGUCCGGACUCUCAUCAUUACUCACGGCAUUGUCCUCAAUCUUCUGAGUCUUGUGAUGCCAUAAAAGGAUAGCAUAUCGGGUGCGCAAAGCUUCAACGUCAAAAACUCUUGGUGGUACACCUUUUUCAUAGCUAAUAUACUCUAUAUAUGCAGCGACAAAGACUCCACGAUCCCUGCAUAUUCAUAUUUUUGAUAGUAAGUAGUAAACUGAAUGAAAAACUAUGAGUUUGUAAUGAUAUUAAAUAAUAAAAUUAGAAUAUGUGAUAUAUCAUCUUACAAAUAAUAUCUCUUAUUUGUGUAGAUCUCAAAAGGAAUAAAUAAGAAAGCAUGACUUCUUAUGAGCCCUAUACACAAAUAUAUUAAGAUUUAUAUAAACCAAAUUUCUCUCUCAUGUAAUUACUUUCCAAAAAUAUAUGAAACUUCAUUCAAUCAAGCAUAUUCACCACCAUCACAUAUCAUAGUUGCACCACACGACCUUUAAACAGACUUUUCAAGUAAAAAUUCAACUAAGAUAACUAUUUCAGUUUGCCAAAUUCUUAUUUAAGUCCCUAUCACUUUUCAGUUAUGCCCCGACUUUCAUAAUUCAAGUAUACAGAAUCAACUUUAGGCACAUUGUUAACAAAAUCACUUAUACAACAAAAAAUCUUCAAAAGAUAGAUCACAUACAUCACAUUGUAAAAACUGUAUAUACAUAUAUGCACUCUAAUUUCUUUAUAUAUAUAUAUAUAUAUAUAUUCUACAAAAAGUAUAUGUAUAUACAUUUAUUGAAACAAAAAAUGUAUAUUGAACAAUAAUUUUAUUUCAUGAAAAUAAAUACGAAACUACCUCAUAAUCAUUGUCAACUUCAUUGCUCCCCCUUUAGAUUGAGAUACCUUAGAACCUUUUGCCCUUUCCUCCUUGCUAGAAGAUGCAAAAUUCUUUCCUUUUUUUUUUUUUCCGAUAAAUCAACCUUCAAUAUUUUGGAAGUGCCUGUUAAAUCAUCUCUUGACUGUGAAUGUAUCAUGAUAUUGUGAUUAUUGACAUGGGCAUUGAUUUUUUUUGUUCGUGACACUUCUCUCUACUUGUCCACUUCCAACUUCGCUAAAAAAUUUGUAUUUUCACUAUCUAAUUGAGAAACACCCAAAUCAAACGAUGGAGCGCCGCAAUUAAUCAUGGGUAUAUGUUGAAUAACUCUUGUCAAUCUCCUAUUAGGUGUUUCUUUAUCCAUUUAAAAUAAAAAGUAAUUGAUAACUUGAAACCGUAAUAAACAAUGCAAAAUAGAUGAACAAUGAAGACAUUUAUCGACUCACUUAAAUAAUAUAUAAAAAAUCAAAAAGAAAUUAAAUCUAACAUAAAAAAUACUUAAAGAUUGCCUCAAAUCUUCAAUAAAUAUCCUAAACGGAUUUUAUGUGGUGACAUAUCCGCAAAAAAAAGUUCUUCAAAAUAAAAUCAAGGAUGAUAUUUUGUGAUAUUUGAGUGAUUUUGAGAGAAACAUAAGGAGAAAAAAAUUGAAGAAGAUCGCUUGAAGAAUCGUGUAUUAUGAUGUUGUCAAUGUUGGCGUUUCUUCAAUGUAAAAUCAAGGAUAUUAUAGUGAUUUUGAGAGAAAUAAGGAGAAAAAAGUUGAAGAUAUCUUCAAUAAUCGCAUGCUUUGAUGUUCCCAUUGUGCCAUUUUUUGAGCCAAUAGAAUAGCGAGAGAAUAAAAAGAAAAUACCAAAAAUAAAUUAUAUACAAAUCUUAAUAUAUUUGUAUAUAGGGCCCCACAAAAAAACUGAUUUUAAACUAGCAAAUGACUAUGAAUUAUAAUUUUUUAAAACAUUAAUCAUUCCAUGUAAUUAAUAUAAUAUUUUAUCUAUAAUAUGUGAUUUUUUCCUCAAUUAAUCUCUAGAUAAGCGCGUAAAAAAAUAGGUAUGUUAAAUUUAGUUCAGAAGGAGAUUGCUGUAUUUUUAGACAAAGUCCCACAUUUAUAGCAAGUAGGAAAAAAAGAGGAAACUUAUAUAAAUCCCUGAAUCUUUAAGUGGUAUUACAUAAAAUCCUGACUAUUUUAUUAAUUACAUUUUAUCCCAAUUUUUUGAAAUGGUGAUACAUAUAAAAAAGUGAUACAUUUGAAACUAACAUGAUAUUUAUUUAAGAAAAUAAUAGAUUCUCUUUUAUUCAUUGUAUUCUUUUAUUUAAGGAAAGAUAUCUAAUUUUUCUUUUUUUUUUUUAGAUUUAAUUUAGGUGUUUUAAUUAUGUUUCUCUUUUUUCAUCUUUAAUUAUGAAAAAUAUAUUUUUUUUGGUCUUUUUACUCUUUUUUCGUCUUUAAUUCCGUCUUUAAUUUCAGUCUGCUUUUUUUAGAUUUAAUUUUAAUUAUGUUUCAAUUCUGCUUUUAGUCUUUUCUUAUAAAAAUAUUAUUACUUUUGUUUCCUAUACUGACUACACAAUUAACUUUCGUUAAUGACAUAUGAAUCACCCAAUAAUUGAAAUAAAUAAUUGUAUCUACCAUAUGAAUCACUAUAAUACCAUAAAUAUCACCCAUUAAUAUCAUAUGAAUCACCCAAUAAUUGAAAUAAAUAAUUAUAUCUACCAUAUGAAUCACCAUAAUACAAUAUGCAUUACUCAUUAAUAUCAUAUAUAUCACUCGUUAACAUCAUACAAAAUGUAUCUAUCGUAUGAAUCAUCCUAAUACUCAUAUAAUGAUAUCAUAUUUAUCAUUCAUAUGAAUCACCAUUAAAAAAAUAAACAUGUAUGAAUAACUAAAUAAAUUUAUAUAUGUAUCAAUAGAUUUUAUUUUAAAAAAUGGGAGAGAUUUUAGGAGAGGAAAAAAAAGUUGCAUGCAUUAAUGGAGGAGAAAAAAUCAGGACGGAAGAUAAUUUAAUUGUUGAAUGAGUUAAUGCUGCAGUAAAAAUAGGAUGUGAGGCUUUCUUGAUUUGUAUCAAGAGUAAAGUUGAAAAAUGCGAUUUUAUAUAAAUUUUAAAAAAGUAAGGGAUAUGAGGUAAUAUAGUCUCUUAAGUAUGAGAUUGGUGUAAUUUAUCUAAAAGAAAGUUAUAUGGUAUUGAAUACUCUUUUAGUGACAUUAGACUUUUUUAAAACAAUCGUGCAAAUUUAGUCCCAAAAUGGACAAUAUCGUGCUAUGUCAAGAUUCAACAAUAACAUUUUCUCCUUUGAGAUAAUAGUGUCCAACUAACUUGUUUUAUUCUUGUGUUGUGGUCAUGUUAAUAUUUUAAUUUUUACCAAGAUAUUUAAGAGAUGAUUGUUGAUGUUUUUAGUUUUAAAUUUUUUAGGCAAAAGAUAGUUGAGAAUGUUCUUAUUGACAAUUUUUUUUCUUUAUCCAAUAAUGUAAGCAGUGGAGGUUGGUAAGUACAACUUUCUUCAAUAAUUCAGGGUAGGGAAAAUGUGCUUACUGCACCUUGUUGACAUGUUGGUUUUGACCAUUCAUGACUGGACAAUAUUUUGUGGCUCAAACGCUACAACAACAAAAUUUUCUAUUAUUGCCAGUGUACGUAUUUGUUUUGAGAGGUACUCAAACUAGAGCUAUUGGUGUUGAAUAAACAAAUCAUUGGUUGACUAUAGUAUGACGAUAUAUUUACACAAAACUUCUACCCGAGGCACACGUAAUAGAAUCGAAGAUGCCAAGUGAAAUUCAAUCCACGAGAAUAAUUACAUUCCAUGGAUUAGAGUUUAAGUUGUUGCUCUUAAUUUUACUUGUGGAUGCACAAAUUUUGAUCCAACAAUAGAGGAGUUGACAUAGAAUCGAGCUUUUUCUAUUUUUAUUUUUUGAUUUAUUGGAUCGCUUCACAGUUUCUUCCCAUAUUCAUGUACUCUAUUUUGCUCAUUUUUUAUUUUAUAUUUUGCUCAUUCAUUUGAUCACAAAAAGUAAAUAAUUCAAUUACUUCAUGUUGAUUUUGCAACGAGAUAAGAGUUCAAUCAAGUAAAACUACUACCCACUUCUAAAAAUGGAAUGAAGAAAGUUAAAGUUGAUAAUUGACAUUUUCCAAAACGUUUUGUAUCAAAUUGAACCAACCUUUAAAGUUGACCUACGAAUAUAUUACAAUCAAACCUUGUUAUGGGGACAUCUAACUAAAAUUUUUACGGUUGUUAUAAAGCUUCUGAUAUAUAUUUAUAUUGACAUUUGACGCUUAGAUCGCAAUUAGUUGUUAUAAACAAAAAUACGCAAAAAAAUAAUUUAAGAAUUUUGUAUACCAAGGAGAAUAAUAUAUUUGUUAACCAAUUUAACCAAAAACAUAAAAGACAAAAAGCUAGUAGCCUUUCCUGAUGACGUUACGAGCUUAACCAAAGAACUCAUUUAAAUUUUUAAGUAUAAAUAACAUAAAUACCAACUCUUUUGAAAGUAAUUACACUCUCUUCUACUUUUUUAAUCACUUUUUUUUUUAAAUCUAUUAGGCCUUCAAAAGAAUCAUCAAAUACAUUGUUGACUAUAGUAGAUUCAUGCAGUGAAUGUAUUCAUACACUAAUCCAAAAUUAACACGUUCAAAUCCUGAUUUCAGUUUCCACAUCAAGUUGAUUACUUCUAUCGAACAUUAAAUUGAAAAUUAGAACUAAUAAAUCUAGUUCUGGAGAAAUUAUUCGUAUUGUUCAAAUCAGUGCACAAUGGAGGAGAAAGAAAAGACAGGCUAUGGUACAGGCAUGGGAUGAUCACAAAAAUCAAAACUGUUCAAAAGGGAACGGAAUGAUUCUUCAAGUUCAUCAAAACCUCGAUAGACGGCUUUAGUUUGAUUUUGUGGAAGCGGUAAUCUUCACACUUCUGUCAUAUAUCUACUUAAACCGGGGGAAAAAACAUGAACGAGGUUAGAUAUGCACAAUAAACAUAUGUAAUGACAAAACGAGAUAGUAUGGAAAUCCUACUACAUGUAAAGUAUUACUCCGAGUGCUUGAGAAACGUAGGCGUCCUACAACAAUGCCGUGUACCCAAUGUGAUCUCACAAGUGUGGAAUGCAGAAGGUAGAGUAAACAUUUUCGGCUCUCUCGACCCCCCCUCCUCCUCCACAACCACAACAGGAAAGAACAACAAUAAUAAACCCAGUAUAUCCCACAAAGUGAGAUUUAGGGAGGGUAAGUGUACGCAUCCAUACCACUACCUCAAGGUGAUAUAGAGAGGUUGUUUCCGAUAGACCCCCGGCUCAAGACAAAAACAGAACAGAAAAGAAAUAGUAAAGAAACACGAAACAACAGAACACACUAGAUAAUAACAUAAACUAGACUAGCACCAAGUAAUACGAUAAACAACAACACCCCCCGAAAAAAGACUAGCACUAUGACUACUAGCAAUGACGCACUCCCCCCUACUAUCCUUCUACUCUAUACGUAGGGGUGGCAAUGGUGCGGUGCGGUGUGGUUUUUUCUAAACCCGCAAAUUUUAAAACCGCACCACAUCACAUCACCUUUAAAUCCCGCAUAAACCCGUACCAACAAGUUUUGCUUUUUUCUUUAUUGAAAAGUUUGUAACUCCACUGGAAACCAUAAUAUUUUCAAUACUAGGAAAUAGUAACAACCUAUUUCUAUUAUAUCACUUUUCACUAAGAAACUAUCAGAAAAGUAUCACGUGUACAAGUAAUGAUCAAAUAUCAAAUUUUCAUUAAGAUGAGUAAAGAUAUUGAAAAAGUUAUAAAAUUGUUCAUUCGUAGUUUUAUACUUGUUAGCUUAAGUAUCAUAAAAUUUUAAGUGAAGAAUACAUACAAUGUUAGGUAGAUUCACGAGAAUAAUAAUAAUUUUUAACUUUUUUUUUUAAAUUUAAACCCUUAUAUGCCCACAACCCACCUUGCCUUGCACCAUUGAAAAAAACAUACUUAAACCCGCCCCGCACCCACAUAGACUAAAAUACACGCCGCCCCACAUAGCCUAAAACCCGCACCACCCCACAUAGCCUAAAACCCGCAUCGCCGUGCACUCGCACCGCCCAAUUGCCAUCCCUAUCUAUAGGCAUCCUCCAAACCUUUCUAUAUUGGGUCAUGUCCUCGGUAGGCUACACAUACUUACACAAAGAGAACAAUCAGACAAAAUAAACAAAAGAGAUUCUCAGUUCCGUCACAACACUUACAGUAGGCGCAUGUGAAUCAAAGAUUAAGUUAAAAGUAAUGAUCUAACAACUUUUCUCUCCUAUGCCACUGUCACGACCCAAAUCGAGGCUUUGGCUGUGGCGAGCAUUCCGAACCAUAAAGGCCCAGAACACCCCUAUCUGUCUGGUAAUCAUGCAUAUGACUUAUAUGACAAUGGAAACGCAGAAGAUACACAAUAUUAUGGAAACAUGGUCAAGAAUCAUAAGAAAAUAAUAAUGGGGAAUAAUGUCCCACAAUCUCAAUCAACAUCUCGAAAACGUAUGCAAAAUCUCUACCACAUGACUGAAACAAAUAGAUAUCCGAAAACUGGGACAAGGCUCCCAACAAACCCAAAACUAAUAAAUGAUAAAUGAAAACUGCCAGAUAUCAGGCCUUCUGGAAUAUAGAAGGCUCACUAAGUGACUCUGCAAAUCUGUCUGAGGAAUCUACUGAUUUUCUGGACCCCUAGACUGUGCCUCCGAACCUGGGAGGGAAGAGGGUCAAUACAAAAGUACUGGUACGCAGAGAAAUAAAAACAAAAGCAUAAUAUUUUUACAAAAUAUAGGUGAGAGCCAUUAUAAAGCAGUUUCAUAUCAAAUCAUUUGAAAACACAUGGGCAUAAUGUAAUAGUUUUCAACCACAAUGUAAUGCAGCUGAGCUAGGUGGAAUACCCUACAUAAUUUAUACCAACUGUCAAACCUCGUUUGCCACCUAGAUUAGAGUAUACGUGAGGGGAAUUCACACAAGAUCACAUAGCAGGGUGUCUCGACCCAAUAGAGUAUGGUAGUGCCCAAGGUCACUUAGCUCGGGCUCCUAACCAUAGUCCCAAUUUGGGAAUGACAUAAAGUCAAGUACACAAGAUCACUUAUCCUGGUACCAAAUUCCCAUGUUGGCAAACACGAUUUCCAGCGAUGAGCCCUUACACUCAAACGCCUUCUUUGGGCAUCCACCUAGCUCAUGUAAAAUCAAUGCAUUCAACUUCAUUUAAUUCAAUCACAUAUCAUGUUCUGUAGGGUAUUGUCAUACCCGACUUGCAAGCCAUCAAUAUCACAUUAUUCUUUCAUGCAGCCAUUAUGUUCAUCAUAUUUCAACAUAACAAUCCCUCUCUUUGCAAGUCAAAAAUCAUAACCGCUUUUAAAAUAUUUCAUGUCAUGCUUGUCAAGAUGAUUUCAAACAUUUCACAUCAUAUGAGAAUUUAAAACAAAACCAUAUCAAGAGAGGGAUUUCAUAUCAUUCAUGCUCUCAAGUUAACAUCUUUUCGGAAUACAUACAUAUUUAUAUAUCAUAUAUCAAAUCACUUUGGGAAUAGGCCUAAGGACCAAAUCAAUAUCAUAAAACGUUCGAUACAUAAUCAUAUUUGUAAAUUUCAAAACCCCCAUUUUGAAAACAUGAAUUUGUAGGUCUAUGAGAUUUUUAGGAUAACCUCACGUACCUCUAUAUGCAAAGAUGAUAGAUGUUUCUUGAAGCCUACGUUCUGGGGAUUCCAAAUAUGCACUUAGUUUAAAAAACCCACGUUUGAAUCUUGAGUUUUUUGGGUUUUUAUUUUGAAACCCUAAGGAGAGUUCUUGAGCAAUUUUGGUGAAUAUGUGUGAAAUUUGGCUCUUUAGGGAUUAAAUCCCAUGUUUAAGUUGAGAGGGGAUUGGUAAAUUACCAAAUUGCUAUUAAUUUCCCGCAUGAGGCUGAAAAUUAAGCCUACGCGAUAUAGUAGGCGACGCAGCCCUUAGUACACUGCGAUUAAGCAGGCGUCGCCCGCUCAAUUGCGGGCUAAGGUUCCAUGCACGCGAUCCAGCAGGCGGUGCGGGAUAAUCACGUGUUGCCACUGGAAUUUAAAUCCAAACUUGUCCUUAAGCUCUUCUAAAUUUUCAAAACUCUUCCAAAACGUACUACAACUUUGCCCCAUCGCAACGCAACAAGAAAAUCCAAAAAUGGAUAUCGGGAAGGUUGAAAAGUUAUAUCCCAAAGAUUGCUAGCUAAAAUGACUCUAAGUCCUUAUUACACUUAGAAAAUUUUCAAGUCUUAAGUCUAAGAGCACACUAUUAAAAGGCUAAUCCAUGCACGACUUUUAUGGGGUAUUACAUUAUUUCACCCUUGGGAUCAUUCGUCCUCGAAUGAUGGGUAGGAUCUUGUUGAAGCCUUAAAGGUAUGGAAUAACGCGGGCAUGAUGCAUCCUCUAAUAAGGAUACACUGGUUUGAAACAUGACUGUAUGACUGGAACUACUGAUAUUUAGAAUUCUUAUAUCGGACAUGCAAUCUGUUGCAUGAAAUACACAACUGAGUCGUUCUCAUGAACGCAAGACUGAAUACAAUGACAAAUUGAACUUUUUUUCUAUUGAACAUGCAUUUCUAAUGCAUGUAUAUCUGACUGAACUGGCGUCUGAACGUAUGACUGAACACGCAAUAAUGACUGAUAGAAACUUAUAAUAAGAAUCUAUGCAUGCAACUGAAUGGGGUAUCUCCCCCUUGGGACACUAUGUCCUUCUAUGAAUGCUCAAUUCACUAAGAUACUCGAAAAAUUGAGGCGAUGCACUAGGCACCUACAAAUUGAAUCAUAACUGAACAUCUAGAGUCUUAAUCUAGUACAUUACGCAUGAACUAAGCUAUACUCGCAACUACUUAUAUACUCUAUCUUGGAAUAGUAACAUAUCUAAGAUUUUGGGUAGCAUGAUUAAAUGAAAAAGACGAGAAAAUAAGUCAUGCGAAUCUGAUCGCUAAACUGAUUUGCUGGCCACAUAGACUGAACUAUACUGGAAACUUAUACUCAAUCUGGAGUAUCUUAUCAACACUCUUCCUAACGAAGUCCUAGUAACAUUAGGUAGCAAAAGAUCUUGGGCAUGAGUCAUACAAGACAUCCAACUAUAGGACCCCAACAUUGACAUUGCUCUGUAGAUUGGAAUAUAGACAUAUAUCUCAUAAAUCAGGAUAGAAUUGCCAGGCCUUAGUCAAUCGUCUUGGCCUAAUCGUCUUGGCCUAAUCUUCUUGGCCUUGUAACAAUUUAUUACACCAAUUAACAUGAUUACAUAAUUAAACAUGCUCCUUGCGACUUCUUACUUCCAAGAUUAACACACUCCUCGAAUACUCCCUUAACUGUACUAUUUCCCGCAGAUACCACAUUCAUUCAAUUCCACGUAUUUGUUCUCAUAUUUGCAUUUAUAAAUCUUUCUACUAAUGUCUAUAGUAACUUAAAUCCUUUCACCGUGAUCAAGCCUAACUUCAAAUAGCAACAUACAACAUGCCACAUUACUUUAAUGGUUAACUCUGAACUAUUAUAUGAAUUCAGCAUUCCUCCACUACAAUCCCAACAUGUCAUUCGAGCCAAUUUCAUAACCACAUGUGAACUUCAAGGCAACACCCGUAAAGACAUACUACACAGAUUCACGAGCUAAGAUCUUCCAUUAUCCAUUAUCCAUGCGCUACCCUCAGAACAUACACACACAGAUUCCCACUAACCAUCACACAUAUCAAAGAUUUGGCCCCAAUCUUACUUUACACUUAUGGCCUUAUCUAAAACAAGCAUACUAUGAUCUUCCAUCAAUAAGAAAUAUUUACUCCUCACAACUAUCCUCACAUAAGAAGGAGUCACAAAAGGCCAGAACAUAAGAUCUCAAAGCAUAGAAGGAUAUUAUAUGAAACUUGACACAUAACUGAGGCCUGAGGAAUAGCAAAUCAACAUCCAGGAUUUAUCAAAGAAAAAUCUGAAUUGGGGUACACAUGGCUAUGAACUUUAUUUCGCCUGUCAUAAAGAGUAUAACAUGAAUUAUGGGAACUGAGCACACAAUAAAGAGUGAAUACUUGAGUCAUGAGCUGCAUGACCUCAAUUUAGAGUUCAUAACAUAUGGAAUGUGAUUUCGAUGGCUGAAUAAACUGAAGUUCCUCAUUUAGGAAUCUGGAAGAGCACGUGAUUUUCUAUCAUAUACAAGAACAUGAACUAUGAUCAUGGAACUAAAACGUGAGGUAUGAGUAGGUAUUAGGAUAACUGAAAAAUACUGAGACUGGAAUGGGUUGAGCCUCACUCUUCCCUUCUGAUGUUCUAUGUCAUACUGACAUCACUACUAGAAUUUGAGGGCCAAACUUGGUUACUUGUUCUAUCAUCUCCCUUUUGGCUUUAAGCCAUCAUCUUUAGUUUGGGAGAUCCCUUACUAGACUUUAAACUUAACCACACUCACUGCACUCUGGGGUCUGAAAUAUGACAAUACACAAAAUUAAUAGAACUUAACCCGAAAGACCACACAUGAAAGUGGAAAGCCCACUGCUAAUACUACCUUCUGAGAUAUACUUUAUAUUUUGAUAUCCCCAAUUGUCAUAGUAUAAUGCUUGCACACUUAUUUCUAUCGGUUCAAGCUUCAAAACUCAAACUUAGAUUUGAUUCUAACACUUAACAUGAACAUCACCAAGCAUUUGGUGAACCAUACCACUUUCGACAUAGUGUACCAAUAUCGCGACUUCAAACUUAUUUCUCAUUACAAUGAGAAUCAAGAUCACAUAAAAAAACUCGACACUAUCAAUCGAAACUCUGUCACCUAGCUAUUUAGAACCCAUAUAACAUCUACUAGUCUUUCUCCAUCUAGCAACUCAGCGGUACUACUAGCCAUACACAACAUGUAAUAGUCUUAGAGAAAUGCCACAACUCCCUAUCACCUUAGGUAUACUUACACACCAUACCUACAACAUUAUACUUCAUUAUGAAUCAGCUUAAACUUAAGCCAUUUCAUACAUCGUUCAAACCUAUUAGAUCACUUCCAUAUAACUAGCAUUAUUAACCAAGAAAUCAUCACAUCCACCUUCAUGGACUUCAACUGUUUAAAACUUAAUGUCUAGUGCUAAACAUGAUUUUACAACCCAACCUUACGCAUGAUUCUUACUUGGAUACCAUGAAAUAAACAUCAAGAAACACUAGUACACUAGAACUUCCUAAGAAUAAAUAAUUGAUAUUGACCUUACGGUCUUCCUUAUCAUAACUCAUUAGAACGUACUAUUUCAACACAUCUAGCCUACUAAUUUAUUCCCACAAAACACACAUCAUUAAUCUCAUGCCACUAUUUUUACCACCACAUUCUACAUUAAAUUCAAGCAUAUAGUCCUGUACCAAUCAUCUAUCACCACUGAAAAAUGCAACAUAAUAUACUAGUCCAUAAAAUUUGGGACAUACUAUACAAACGCCUAAAAAAUCACUACAUACCUUCUCACAAGUAGUACUAGUUUACAACUACCAAUGAAAAAAAGGUCAAGGGGUAAAGUUACAUAAUAGACAUAAUCAACCUUAAUCUUAUAUCAUAACCCCAUACAAUCUUUUCUACUUUACGGAUUUCUCACCUCAUACUUACUUACCUAAGCGUACAUUUAGAUUACCUUCAAAUUCCACAAAUAACCAUGAGUCUAUAAUUAUAACUUACUGGCUAAUAUAGCCAUUUUUCACACUUCAAGCAACCGACAAAUCACCCUGACUAACAAAUCCUUCUCUAAUCUCUACUAAACUAACACACAAAGACGAAUCACCUCUUUGCCAACUCCAUCUCAUGCAAACAGAUUUAGCUACACAUAUAUUAAACCAACACAAGAACAACAAGUUGCUAGUGAAUCGAAAUAGGCCUCACACGGCUUCACUAGACUUUGAUUUUUCAAAAAUAUCAUGAUAACAAGAUUACAUAUUAUAAGAGAUAGAAGAUUGACACAUAGUAUUCAAUGAUCUAAGAAUAUACCUCUUACUUAGCGUAAAUAAAAAUUUGAGUCAAACACUUCCCCCAUAGACUACUAUGCAGUCCACACAUGCUACUAGCUACCAUAUUAGCCUAUCACUAUAAAAGGGUAAAUCAUCCUCAAGCAUUGGUUAUUCAACAGAAAUAUUUAUUUACACAAAAAUCACCCUCACUCUGACUUCUAACUUCGAGACUUUACAACACCAACUUCUUGGUCCAAUAUCACUACCAAUAGGUUAUGACAACAAUACUUUAACUCAUACUACUAUUCGGGUGGAAAUACACUUCCAACAUUCUACUAUACGUUGUUCACAUCUAUGACAAAAAUUUAAAGGGGACUAGAUGCAAUUAAUACCUCAAGCUGAAAAGCAAGAUUCCAUCAAGAUCAAUGUUUGCAUCGAAAUCAAUAAGUACUGAAGCACUAACAGACUCUUCUUAAGCCUUGCACAAAAUUUUAACUCUUAUAUGGUUCAAUAAAAAAGGACCAUACUAUUUAGAUUCUAAACUUCUGCACUUGAAUUGCCUCAAUAAUGAAACAUAUCUGAGGACGUCAGAGUAAGAAAGGAUUUAGGGUAACUUUACUUUCGUAAGGCCGACACCAAUAGCACGAAUUAGAGUAUGAAAGAGGAACGUUUUGAAUCCAUUGCACGAACUAGAACAUGAAGAAAAAGAGACAUUCCUAAACGCCUAGUAGCCUACUGCUUAUAAGUGUGGCGCGCUACACACCCAUAAAUAAGAUUCUACCCGACGUGAUUUUGCAGACACCUUGGGACCAUGAACCAUGCUCUGAUACCAAGUUUGUCACGACCCGAAAUGGGGCCCUGGCCGUGAUGAGCAUUCCGAACCAUAAAGGCCUAGAACACCCCUAUCUGUCUAGUAAUAAUGCACAUGGAAAUGCGGAAGAUACACAAUAUAACGGAAACAUGAACAAGAAUCAUAUGAAAACAAUAAUGGGGAAUAAUGUCCCACAAUCUCAAUCAACAUCUCAAAAACGUCUGCGAAAUCUCUACUGCAUGACUGAAAUAAAUAGCUAUCUGAAAACUGGGACAAGACCCCUAGCAGACCCAAAACUAAUAAAUGAUAAAAAAAAACUGUUAGAGAUCAGGCCUUUCGGAAUAUAGAAGGCUCACCAAGUGACUCUGCAAAUCUGUCUGAGGAAUCAACUGAUUUUCGGGUCCCCUAGACUGUGCCUCUGAACCUGGGAGGGAAGGGGAUCAAUACAAAAGUACUGGUACACAGAGAAAUCAAAACAAAAGCAUAAUAUUUUUACAAAAUAUAGGUGAGAGCCAUUAUAAAGCAGUUUCAUAUCAAAUCAUUUGAAAACACAUGGGCAUAAUGUAAUAGUGUUCAACAACAAUGUAAUUUAGUUGAGCUAUGUGAAAUACCCUACAUAAUUUACACCAACUGUCAAACCUCGAUUGCCGUCGAGAUUAGAGUAUACGUGAGGGGAAGACACAAAAGAUCACACAGCAGGGUGUCUCGACCCAAUAGAGUAUGGUAGUGCCCAAGGUCACUUAGCCUAGGCUCCUAACCAUAGUCCUAAUUUGGGAAUGCCAUAAAGUCAAGUGUACAAGAUCAUUUAGCCUGGUUCCAAAUUCCCAUGUCGGCCAACACGGUUUCCAGUGAUGAGCCCUUACACUCAAAUGCCUUCUUCGGGCAUCCACCUAUCUCAUGUAAAAUCAAUAUAUUUAGCUCCAUUUAAUUCAAUCACACAUCAUGUUCUGUAGGGUAUCGUCAUACCCGACUUGCAAGCCAUCAAUAUUACAUCAUUCUUUCAUGCAGCUAUUAUGUUCAUCAUAUUUCAACAUAACAAUCCCCUCUCUUUGCAAGUCGAAAAUCAUAACUACUUUUAAAAUAUUUCAUGUCAUGCUUGUCAAGAUGAUUUCAAAAAUUUCACAUCAUACGAGAAUUUAAAACAAAACCAUACCAAGAGAGGGAUUUCAUAUCAUUCAUGCUCUCAAGUUAACAUCUUUUCGGAAUAUAUGUAUGUACAUAUAUAAUAUAUUAAAUCACUUUGGGAAUAGGCCUAAGGACCAAAUUAAUAUCAUAAAACGUUCGAUACAUAAUCAUAUUCGUAAAUUUACAAAACCCCCAUUUUGAAAACAUGAAUUUAAAGGCCCAUGAGAUUUUUAGGAUAACCCCACGUACCUUUAUAUGCGAAGAUGAUAGAUGUUUCUUGAAGCCUACGUUCUGGGGAUUCCAAAUAUGCACUUAGUUUCAAAAACCCACGGUUGAACCUCGAGUUUCUUGGGUUUUUAUUUUGAAACCCUAAGGAGAGUUCUUGAGCAAUUUUGGUGAAUAUGUGUGAAAUUUGGCUCUUUAGGGAUUAAAUCCCGUGUUUAAGUUGAUAGGGGAUUGGUAAAUUACCAAAUUGCCAUUAAUUUCCCGGAUAAGGCUGAAAAUUAAGCCUGGCGCGAUAUAGCAGGUGACGCAGGCCUUAGUGCACUACGAUUAGGCAGGCGUCACUCGCUCAAUCGCGGGCUAAGGUUCCAUGCACACGAUCCAGCAGGCAGCGUGGGCUAAUCGCGCGCUAUCACUGGAAUUUAAAUCCAAAUACAAUUUUAGGUAAAUUCACGAGAAUAAUACUAAUUUUUAAAUUUUUUUUUUCAAUUUAAACUCUUAUACCCACAACCCACCCCGCCUCGCACCAUUUUAAAAAACAUACUUAAACCCACUCUGCACCCACAUAGUCUAAAAUCCACACUGCCCCAUAUAGCCUAAAACGCGCACCGCUGUGCACCCGCACCGCCCAAUUGCCAUCCCUAUCUAUAAGCAUUCUCCAAACCUUCCUAUAUAGGGUCAUGUCCUCGGUAAGCUACACACACUUACACAAAGAUAACAAUCAAACAGAAUAAACAAAAGAGAUUCUCAGUUCCAUCAUAAUAAUUACAGUGGACACAUGUGAAUCAAAGAUUAAUAUAAAAGUAAUGAUCUAACAAAUUUUUUCUCCUACGCCACCCAUAAAAGCAGAUAAAAAAAUACUGAUAAACUGGCACAUCGUAAAGCAUUUAAUAAAUUCUAAUCUAUAGCAAACUAUCCAGAUUAAUAACACCUUAAUUAAUAACAGUGUUCUAUCCUAAUGAUAAAGUCCCACCAAGAAUCAGAGAGGCUCCAUUAACACUUGUACCCAUUCCCUGUUGCGAAGACAGAAUGUGCCCAUUCACAAAAUAAAGCCAACACGGAACGCAGGAGACGCAAUCUAAGAUUGGAGUUGGCAACACCACUCCACCGGAUAAUAGCUGGUCAUAAGUAUUUAAUACAGGCUCUAAUGCACCCUUGCAAGCAGCUAAAAGAGCCCUAGGAAUAUCUUUAUCUCCAACAGAUUCAGCACCAGAAACCACUUGCUCCUUUAAAGUAUUAAAGAAUCAAUUAAGUUUAGAUUCUACAAGUGAAGCAUUGAACUAGUUGAAAGCACAUGCAAAGGGAGAAUCAAUUAAGUUCAAAUUCCAUAAGUGAAGGAUUGUACUAGUGGAAAGCAUAUGCAAAGGAACUAACAAAAUCAAAUGGGCAAGUACAGCUCUAAGACCCCGCAAAAUUGUUGCAUCCGAAUUCAGUUCUCUUGGCUUUACAAGUCUCAAAACUUAGAAAUUUUCAUAAGUGUUCAAUACUUAGUCUCAUUUUAGACCUACAAACUUCGGAGAUUUAUUUGACGACUUUCUCGAUAUUUAUUUUUUGAUUUUCAAGUUGCGUUGUGAUUGGGCAAGGUUGUAGUACUUCCCAGGUAAGUUUAGGAAUUUUUUGACUCCAUUUAGGGCACGUUUUGAUUUCAAACCAGUAGCUUUCCGUGAUUAGAGGACGUCGCCCAGCUUAGAGAGACUCUCUAAGUAAGGCGCCGCCCUACUUAUAGAGGGGGUAAGAGUAAGGCGCUGCCCUGCCAUUUUGGGUACCCAGUUUUUUAGCAUUCAACCUCCAUGUUUUAAAGGGUAUUUUAGACAUUUUCCCUACCCUAUAUAUACUCUUAAACACAAGAUUUACCCAUAAUUCAGCCAAAUACACCCAUAUUUCUCAAAAUCCUCUCAAGAACUCAUUAGGGUUUUCAAUUGGGGAUUCAAGUUCAAGAAAAUUUCUCCGUCAAUCAUCAAGAAUCUUCCGUCUAAGGUAUGCGUGAGUUAAUUCAUGGACUCCUUUGGUUCAUGAAGCUCAAGAACUAUAUUCUAAAUUUUGUUUUAUGAUGUUUAUGUUUUUGAUGGAUGAUGAUUAUAUUGUUGGAGUUUGAUGAUGCCCAAGAUAGUAUUUUUGUAUGUUUGUGUGAAGCUAUGGUGAUAUAUAAUGUAUAAACAUGUGUAAUUUGUAGUUGAAUUGAAUACUUGAAAUUUUGAUGAAUCGACCUAUGCCUAAGAUGUGCAUGUAAGGUGUUUGUGAAAAUACCUAAGAGAUUAGAAUCAUGUUUUUAUGACAUAAUAGGUCCUAAAUAACUAUUCCAUGCUCUAAGUUUAUGUUUGAUGCGAUUCCCAAACUACUGUCUUGGAUUAAAGAUGUUGUUGAGAUGCUCAUGAUAUUGUUGUGAUAUGGAAUGACCAUGAUAUUGAAGCCAUGCAAGUAUAUACAUGUUGUAUGCAUUCCCGUUCAUGUGAUAGAUUGUUGAGAACCAUGGUUUGUGUGAAAUCCUUAUUUAUGGUAUUAUGAAUUGUGAAUAUUGUUGGAUUGUUCAUGAACUAGUCUUAUGCGAUCAUGCUAUGUUUUCUUGCAAAUCCUACUUAUGUAUGAGAUGUAUGAUAACCAUGUACUUCAAGAAAAUCCCAAAGUUAUGAUAUUAUGGAUUGUUGACGUUGGUCAUGUAAUCAAGUCAUUCAUGUGUGUCAGUUUCUUUCCAUUGAGUCCUAGGGGUACUUGUACCUGAAAACUAUAGCUGUGUGCCUAGAGCCGAGUCAUGUUUCAUGAUAUACUCAGUCAAGCUAUGUUCCAUAGAUCUCAGUUAGUCAUGUGACUCAAGAAAACUCAAAAAUCUCAGCAGUUUAGUAGUCUCAGUAAUUUUAGUACUCUCAGUCAGACCUCAGAUCUUAAGUAGCUUUUCCGUCAGUUAACGGAACUCAGUAAAUAUAGCUUAGCUCAGCUAAGAAAAUGCUAUCAUCUCAGUUAAUCAGUUCAGUUAGUCAGUUCAACUCAAAAAUUCAUGUUCAGUGUCAUUCAGAUGGGAGUAGGAUUCAACACCGAGCAAACCUAGGGAUGGGGGAUCACCUGCUAGCAUAGGACUGAGAUCUCUGGAAGCAAUCCCAAAGUUCCAGAACUAUGUAUCUAGCAUAGGUACGAGAUGUCACCCGUUAGAUAGGACUGACAUACUCAGGGAUCACCCGUUAGCACAUUUAUAUAUAUAGGACUAGUCGCCGGAGUCAUCCAUUAGAUUAGGACUAACUCUACAGCAGAUGUCUUUACUGGUAGCGCGGUACUGGCACCCUUCCAGUCAGGGCAGAGAUUGGACCCCAGUCAACUUAGUGUGGGGCAUGUCGGUUACAUGAAUACAUCCCACAGUUUUAGUUACAGAAAUCAGGACUGUCAGAUAUAGUCAACUCAGCUUAGUAGUACAGACUCAGGACUGUUAGACCCAGUCAAUCCUUAUCAUCAUAAAUAGACUCCAAGAUCACCCAUUAGACAGGACUGAUCUCAACUACCAUUUUAGUAUCAGUAUUAGCAAACUUAGAGAUCACCCAUUAGAUAGGACUGAUCUCAUUUAUAGUCAAUCAGUAUUAGCAUUAUCAAACUUAGAGAUCACCCAUUAGGUAGGAUUGAUCUCAGACUAAGUUAAUUCAUUCUUCUUUAUCAGCAUAAUCAGAGAUCACCCGUUAGCUAGGACUGAUCUUAGACUCAGAUAUUUAGAUACAGUAUAGAACCCAGAUAGUUCUACCAAAAUUAGGACUGUUAGAUACAGUCAUUCAAGUUAACAGUCUCUCAGUAUUAGUAAACUUAUAUUGUCAGAAUUCGAACUCAGUAGUCAGUAUCUCCACGAGUUUAGUAUCAGUUAUAUGUGUAUGUAUGUAUGUAUGUAUGUAUGUAUUCUCAUGUUCAUAUUAGUCAGCAUGUUUAUGCAUAUAAACCCCAUGUAUUUAUCCUACCCCAAUGUAUACUCAGUACUUUCAUUGUACUAACGCAUUCACACUAUGGUGCUUUCUUUUAUGUUACACCAUAGGUUCUGAGGCACAGGUUUCGGAUCAGCAGUAGCAGUUCAGUAGCAGUGAGUUCUCAUCUUUCGAGGAGGAUACGAUUAUUACUUCAUUUAUCAUUUAGUUUAUUUUCAGUUUAGGGAGUUAGUUGGAGACAUGUUCCUUUAACUCCUUAUUCAGAUAGUUUAGAGGCUAUUCAGAUGAUUACAGAGUUUUUAGAUUCAGACUUUAGUCUUUUCAGUUUUGUUUUGGUACUGUGAUACCAACUUAGUCAGACGUUUUAUUGUUCAAGAUUGAACCUUACGGACUUUUAGUUUAUGUUUCCAUAUUUUAUAUGUAUAUUAUGAAGUAUACUGGUACAAAUAUCAGUCAUGGGUUAGCUUGUGGUCCUUCGGGGUCAUGAGCACCGUGUAGCAUUCCGAUUCAGAUAAUCGGGGCGUUACAAACUUGGUAUCAGAGACUAAGGUUCAAUAGAGUCCUAGGAAGUCUGAAAGCCGUAUCUAGCAGAGUCUUGUACAUGCGUGUGUUGUGCACCACUCUUAUGUGCAGAAGGCUAUGAGAUGUUUUAGGAAUAAUUUCCCUUCUUUCAUAUCUCAAAUCGUGCUAUAGUAAGGUUCUCUAAGAAACUUAUGUAGAUUCUCAUCAUGCUCCCCUCAUGUAAUCUUUACCUUACUUCCAAGGUAACAUAAAUAGUGAAGCUCAAGUCCUAAAGAUAGAGCUUUCUCAGACAGUAUCCCAUCAGUUCCCUUAUGUCCAAAGUUGUACGGAUCUCAUUCAUGAUCACGAGAACUCAUUCUCGAACCCAGAUUUAGAUAUGCCUUCAGAUCCCUUCUUAAAAUCCUAUGAUAGCAUGUAACCCAGAGUUAGGAGCAUGAACCCAAUAGUUUGGCAGUAGAUAAGUUGGGAUAUGAUAUCCAGAUUAAAUAGAUUAUGUAUUCAUUGGGAUAGUUGUGCCAGAAUAAAUCAAUAGGCUUGAACAGUAUGAGUUAGAAAUUUAAGUUUAUUGAAUUAAAAUUAAGCAUAAAGGUGUGAAUGUGAUCCUAGUAGUAUGUGAGGGAAACAGGAACAGAUGAUGUGUUUAGUAUGGCAAACAUGUGCUAAUCAGAGUAUAAGUAUGUAAUGAUGAUUGCAGUUUAGUUCAGAGUUUAGUUUAGCUCUCACAGACUUGUGAUGAUAGCUUAAAGCCAAGGGGGAGAUGAUAGAUCAAGUACCCAAGUCAUUUUAGCAAUCGAGCAGUCAGAUUUGUAUAGCUUGUUUUCUCAUCUUUGCAUCUAUUCAUGCUACCCAAAAAUCUCAGAGAAUGUAACUAUUUCAAGGUAGAACCUCUUAGUAGUUGCAAGUUCAGUUCAUCUCAUGCAUCAUGCAUUAGUUCCAGACUCUCGAGGUUCAGCUAAAUAUAGUUUGUAGAUGCCCUGUGCAUCGCCCCAGUAUCUCAAUAAGGUGAGUGUUCUUAGAGGGACAUAGAGUCCCAAGAGGGAGAUACCCCAACAUCCCUUAACGCUCUUAUGUCCUAAACCUUUCUAUUUUCCUUUAUAUGAUGAAUUUAGUUUUGAAUAGAGGGUACUCUUAAGAUAACCCUAAAAGUACCAGUCUCAAACAUAAGCCAUGUACUCAGAGGUUAGACUAGUUCAUGAUUUCUCAGUUCAUAUGUCACGCCUUAGCCUCAGUUAUGUUCUCAUGCUUCCACUCAUGCAUAUCGAGUAGUUAAUCUCAUACUCAUCGAUAUUUUCAGUUUAAGGUAAUAGCUUUCUUUGAACUUAUUUAUGCUAAUUUUAGAUCUCAGUAGCAAACCUAGUAUUCAGUCCCAUGCUCAUUUAAUAGCUCAAACUUGGUAUCUUUACCAUUGCAUGUUCAGUCGCAUGUUUAUGAGUCAGUUUAGUUAUACGUUGAUGCAUCAGAUAUGCGUGAUCAUCUCAUUAGUACUUUCAGUUAUGGAUUGUUGAUGUUGGUCAUGUAAUCAAGUCAUUCAUGUGUGUUAGUUUUUUUCCAUCGAGUUCUGGGGGUACUUGUACCUAAAAACUAUAGCUGUAUGCCUAGAGUCGAGUCAUGUUUCAUGAUAUACUCAGUCAAGCUAUGUUCCAUAGAUCUCAGUUAGUCAUGUGACUCAGGAACCUCAGAAAUCUCAGCAGUUCAGUAGUCUCAGUAAUUUCAGUACUCUCAGUCAGACCUCAGAUCUCAAGUAGCAUUUUCGUCAGUUAACGGAACUCAGAAAAUAUAGCUCAGCUCAGCUAAGAAAAUGCUAUCAUCUCAGUUAAUCAGUUCAGUUAGUCAGUUCAGCUCAGAAAUUCAUGUUCAGUGUUAUUCAGAUGGGAGUAGGAUUCAACACCGAUCGAACUUAGGGAUGGGGACUCACCCGCUAGACUAGGACUGAGAUCUCUAGAAGCAAUCCCGAAGUUCCAGAACUAUGUAUCCAGCAUAGGUACGAGAUGUCACCCGUUAGAUAGGACUGACAUAUUCAGGGAUCACCCAUUAGCACAUUUAUAUAUAUAGGACUGGUCUCAGGAGUCACCCAUUAGAUUAGGACUAACUCCACAGCAGAUGUCUUUACUGGUGGCGCGGUACUGACACCCUUCCGGUCAGGGCAGAGAUUGGACCCCAGUCAGCUUAGUAUGGGGCAUGUUGGUUACAUGAAUACAUCCCACAGUUUUAGUUACAGAAAUCAGGACUGUCAGAUAUAGUCAACUCAGCUUAGUAGUACAGACUCAAGACCAUUAGACCCAGUCAAUCCUUAUCAUCACAAAUAGACUUCAAGAUCACCCAUUAGACAUGACUGAUCUCAACUAUCGUUUCAGUAUCAGUAUUAGCAAACUUAGAGAUCACCCAUUAGAAAGGACUGAUCUCAUUUAUAGUCAAUCAGUAUUAGCAUUAUCAAACUUAGAGAUAACCCAUUAGGUAGGACUGAUCUCAGACUAAGUUAAUUCAUUCUUCUUUAUCAGCAUAAUCAGAGAUCACCCAUUAGCUAGGACUGAUCUUAGACUCAGAUAUUCAGAUAUAAUAUGGAACCCAGAUAGUUCCACCAGAAUUAGGACUGUUAGAUACAGUCAUUCAAGUUAUCAGUCUCUCAGUGUUAGUAAACUUAUGUUGUCAGAAUUCGAACUCAGUAUUCAGUAUCUCCACGAGUUCAGUAUCAGUUAUAUAUGUAUGUAUGUAUGUAUGUAUGUAUUCUCACGUUCAUAUUAAUCAGCAUGUUCAUGCAUAUAAACCCUAUAUAUUUAGCCUACCCCCACGUAUACUCAGUACUUUAGUUGUACUGACGCAUUCGCACUAUGGUGCUUCCAUAAGUUCUGAGGCAUAGGUUUCGGAUUAGCAGUAGCAGUUCAGUAGCAGUGAAUUCUCAUCUUUUGAGGACAUAUGUUUAUUACUUCAUUUAUCAUUUUAGUUUAUUUUUAGGUUAGGGAGUUAGUUGAAGACAUGUUCAUUCAACUCUUUAUUCAGAUAGUUUAGAGGCUAUUUAGACGAUUAUAGAUUUUUCAAAUUCAGACUUUAGUCUUUUUAGUUUUGUUUCAGUACCUAUCUUUAAGUGGUAGACUUAUACUCAAUAACAGUGCUCUCGAUGCAUUCCCCACCUAUNNNNNNNNNNNNNNNNNNNNNNNNNNNNNNNNNNNNNNNNNNNNNNNNNNACAACUUCUUAUGGCAAGGCAACAAAGAGAAGAAACUUCACUUUUGAUGCCGCACCCGUGUUGGAUUCUCUAAAAAUAAACUAGGUAUGGCGAAUCCGACAUGCAUCCGUUGACAUUUUUGAAGAGUCCAAGUAACACAACUGGGAAUAAGGAACUUAAGAAAGCAAAACCAAAGCCUCCUUAUGAAAUGACUCUUGAGAUACAUAAAUGAAGAUCACGCGCUAUAGAAGUAAGUAAUUCAAGAAAAAAUAAGGAGAAAAGGGUGCUAGGAAAACCAAAGUUAUAAGCACUGUUGUAACGCCCCGUAAAAGUUGUGCAUCGAUUAGCCUUUAAUAGUUGUUCUUAGACAUAAGACUUGGAAAUUUUUUCUAAGUGUAAUGAGGACUUAGAGUCAUUUUUGCUGGUAAUCUUUGGGAUACAACUUUUCAACCUUCUCGACAUUCGUUUCUGGAUUUUCUUAUUGCGUUGCGAUGGGGCAAGGUUGUAGCACGUCUUGAAAGAGUUUUGGAAUUUUAGAUGAGCUUAAGGGCAAGUUUGGAUUUCCAAUCCAGUAGCAGCGUGCGAUAGGCCCGUAUCGCCCGCAGGAUCGCCCGCCCUGGGUCGGAGCCUGUGAUUGAGCGGGUGACGCCUGCCUAAUCGUAGUGCACUAAGGCCUGCAUCGCCUGCUAUAUCGCGCCAGGCUUAAUUUUCAGCCUCAUCUGGGAAAUUAAUGGCAAUUUGGUAAUUUACCAAUCCCCUAUCAACUUAAACACGGGAUUUAAUCCCUAAAGAGACAAAUUACACACAUAUUCACCAAAAUUGCUCAAAAACUCUCCUUAGGGUUUCAAAAUAAAAACCCAAGCAACUCAAGAUUCAACCAUGGGUUUUGAAACUAAUUGUAUAUUUGGAAUCUCCAGAAUGUAGGCUUCAAGAAACACCUAUCAUCUUUGCAUAUAGAGGUAUGUGGGGUUUUCCUAAAAUCUCAUGGGCAUAUAAAUCAUGUUUUAAGAAAGGGGUUUUUGAAUUCAUGUACAUAUUCAUAUUUUAGAAGCUUUAAUGAUAUUGUUUUGGCCUUUUGGCUAUCCCCUAAAGUGAUUUGAAAGUUAUAUGUAUAUGUAUAUAAGUGUUUAUCCUCAAAUAUGAAUUGAGAGCAUGAUUAUAAUAAAUUUCUCUCUUGUUAUGAGUUUUCCCAUCUUCAUAUGACAUGAAUUGUUUUGAAUGCAUUUUGAAAAGCAUGAUAUGAAAUACUUUGGCUUUUGCUAUGUUUUGAAUAUGUUUUGAAUACCAAAAAAGAGGGUUAUGAAUGUUGGAUAUGCAUAUAAUGAAAGAGUGCAUGAUUUUGCCAAAAGCACAUGACCAUCAAAUAUUUGAUGAAAGUUUUUUCUUGGUUUUGACUUGAGUUUUGGAGCAUGAAAUCUUCUAUGCAAAUUACAUAUUUGGGUGGUCUGAAACUAUAUUUUUAUGAAAGAUUAUGCUUGAUACAUUACGGCUCAGAAAGAGUACUUGCAUGUCUUGGUAUGAUGAUACCGAACUCAGAAAAUACCAUAAUAGACACAGACUAAUAGAGAAAUCAGACUUUAUUAGAUUUGCAUAUUUUAGAACUUCAGAAUGAUACAUGUUUAGAAAAGGUUAAAAUUGGGCAUAAAGAGAUGUUAGGUGGUCCCCGAAGAAGGCAUGAGUUCAGAGUACUCAUUGUCCAAAACCGUGAUUUGCUAAUUCGAGUAUACUAUUAUACGCUGGCUUAAGUGCUGUGUGGCGUAUCAGACUUAGGCACUCCAAUCCUUGCGGCACACUUGGGUUGGGGGCUUCCCCACCGAGUCAAUGGUGGAUUCCAUCUAGCCCGUGGAAUAUCAGACUUGUAUGGGAGUGCCACCUAACUCAGAAGUAAUACAAAGAUCAGAAAUUAUUUGACAAGAAUGUCUCAGAAUGUUUCAAAUGAUGCCUAUGUGUUUUUCAGAAACUAUUUUUGUAUGAUGUUUAAUGAAAACUUUGCUCUCAUAUUAUAUAUAUAUAUGUUGAAAUACUCUAUUUUGGACUGCUUUACGUGCCAGUACUUUUGUGCUGAUCCCCCCUCCUUCUAGGUUCUGAGGCGCAGUCUAGGGGUCCAGCAAAUCAGUAGAUAUAUCAGGUCACAGACCAGACUGAGCAGUGGUGAGCCUUCUAUGAUCCAGAAGGCUUGAUUAUUAUAAAUACUAUGUUUAGUGAUGUUUUGGUCUACUGGGGGCCUUAGAUAGCUUGUUUAGUUCAUAGUAGAGAUUUUCGCAGACUAUGUCUGACAUUAUUAUUCAGAUACAUUUACAGAUUGACUAUGUUUCCGUACUAAUUUCUAUUUUUCCGCAUUAUCUUUUAUAUAAAUGUUGUGUAUGAUCACCAGAUACAGAAGGGUGUUCUGAGCCUUCAUGGUUUGGGAUGCUCGUCACGGCUAGGGCCUUGGCUCGGGUCAUGACAAACUUGGUAUCAGAGCACGGUUCAUAGUCCUAGGGUGUCUGCAAAAUUGCAUCGGGUAGAGUCUUGUUUAUGGGUGUGUAGCGCGCCACACUUAUAAGCAAAAAGAUACUAGGCAUUUAGGAAAUGUUUCCUUUCUUUGUGAUUUAGUUCGUGCUUUAGAGUCUGACCUAUUCCCUAAUCAAUGAUCUCUUGUAUUUUAUAAACACAGUUAUGCCUUCCCGUUGCAACAUUGAAUAGAAUGCUCAGACAGAUGAGGUCCGUUCCACCCAUGGGAUCUGGACCCAUAACAGAGUUCCCACUUUAGAGCUUGUCCGUACUCUGGAAGUCCCUCCAUUCCCAACCAGUCUACCUCGGGAUCCUUGGACUAAUGUUAAUCGUCCCCCGACUAAUCAAAGAGAUAUUUUGAAUGCAGAAUUUAGAUAGUCCAUUCAUAUGCUGACACAAUUGGUGGCUGCACAGACUCAGCGGUCAGAAGAUGCUGGGUCUGUAUCUGCUACUUCUAGAGUUACUCGAGUAAGCAAAUUUAUGAGGAUGAAUCAUCCUAAAUUCAUAGGUACUAAGGUAGAAAAGGAUCCAUAGGAAUUUGUGAACGAAAUAGAAAAGAUUUUCAAAGUGAUGCAUGUUGAUGAGGUUGAAGGGGUAGAAUUGGCAGCGUACCAGCUGAAAGAGGUGACGAAUCAGUGGUACAAUGAUUGGGAAGAUGUGAAAGGCGACAAUGUUGAGCCCUCAAUAUGGAAUGAGUUUGUUGAUGCUUUUCUUGACCGAUUCUAUCCUUUAGAGUUGAGGGAGGCAAAGGAUGAGGAGUUCAUAAAUCUAAAAUAGGGGAAGAUGAGUGUUCAGGAGUAUAUUCUAAAGUUCAAUCAGCUGACCCGUUAUGCUCCUGAGAUAACAAGUAGUAUAAGGGCCCGAAUGAGAAAGUUUGCAUCCGGCCUUUCAGAUGAUCUGGUGCUUGAGUUCCAGGGAGCUAUGUUGAAUAAGGAGUUGGACUUUGCUAGGCUUACCAUUCAUAUGAAACAGGUAAAAGAGAAAAAGAAGAAGAUUUCUAAGGCUAGGGAGCUAGAAAGACAGGCGAAAAGAGCAGGAUUUGCCGACCAGGGUCACAACCAGCCUCAAAAUAGUAAGUAGGGAUAUAAAUGGCAGAAGGAGAAGAAUUAAGGUAAUGCACAGUCUACUGCUAGUGCCCCAGCGCCCAACCACCAGUAGACAAAUGAUCCCAGAGUUUUAAGACUUAUCAUAGAUCUAGAGCACCAUAUACUCAGUCGCAGGGUAGUGUGGUUCAGUAGUAUUGUACUUAUCCAUGGUGUGAGACUUGUGGUAGAAAUCAUCUGGGGAAGUGUCAGUUGGGCACACUUGUAUGUUAUUCAUGUGGUCAGCUGGGCAACUUUCAGAGGGACUGUCCAUCUUCUAGGAAGAAUGUUGGUGGUGCAAUGUCUCAGUUCAAUUCUUAAGCGCCACCCCCACCUCAGAAGGGUGCCUCUUCAGCUACUGGGAGCGAUCGUAACCGGUUAUAUGCUUUGGCUAACCGCCAGGAGGUGGAAGCUUCACCAGAUAUUGUCACCGGUAUGUUACGGAUCUUUUCUUGUGAUGUUUAUGUAUUGCUUGAUCCUGGGUCUACUUUAUAUUAUGUGACCCCUUAUGUGGCUGUUGGUUUUGGGUUUGAACCCAAAGUUUUUGUAGAACCCUUCACUAUUUCCACUCCUGUCGGUGAUUCUAUUGUUGCUAGAAGGGUGUAUAGAAAUUUUGUUGUGUCUAUUCUUAGUAGGGAUACUAUGGAAGACUUUAUAGAACUUGAUAUGGUAGAUUUUAAUGCCAUCCUUGGGAUGGACUGGCUCCAUUCGUGCUAUGCCACAUUUGAUUGCAGAACCUGAAAGGUAACCUUUUCUUUACAGAGUGAGAUACCAGUUGAGUGGGUAAGGAAUUUUGUGGCACCUAGAGGUCACUUUAUCGCUUAUCUUAGAGCCCAAAAGCUCAUCUCUAAAGGCUGUAUGUACCAUCUAAUUCGAGUAAAAGAUUCCAGAGUUGAAAAUCUUCCUCUUCAGUCAGUUCCUGUAGUGAAUGAGUUUCCAGAAGUCUUUCCCAAAGAUCUCCCAGGGAUACCACCUGAUAGGGAAAUAGAUUUUGGCAUUGAUGUAUUGCCAGACACUUGUCAUAUUUCUAUUCUGCCAUGUAGAAUGGCUCCCGCAGAACUGAAAGAGUUAAAAGAACAGCUCGCAGACCUCCUAGACCAAGGCUUUAUUCGUCCUAGUGUUUCCCCAUUGGUUGCACCCAUACUUUUUAUGCGAAAGAAGGAUGGGUCCCUUCGUAUGUGCAUAGACUACCGCCAGUUGAAUAAGGUCACUAUUAAAAGCAAAUUUUCUCUUCCUAGGAUUGAUGAUCUUUUUGACCGACUUCAGGGUGCUAAGUGUUUUUCAAAAAUAGACCUUCAUUUGGGCUAUCAUCAGUUGAAUUUUAAGGAGUCAGACAUUACUAAAAUAGCCUUCUGAACCCGAUAUGGUCACUAUGAGUUCUUAGUUAUGUCCUUCGAUUUGACUAAUGCCCCUGCAGCCUUUAUAGAUCUUAUGAAUAGAGUGUUUCUUUAGUUUUUAAACUUGUUCAUCAUAGUAUUCAUUGAUGAUAUUUUGACCUAUUCCAAAAGUAAAGAGGAUCAUGCCAAUCACCUCCGAAUUAUCCUUCAGACCCCUAAGGAUCAUCAGUUAUAUGCUAAGUUCUCCAAAUAUGAAUUCUGUUUGAAUGCUAUUGCUUUCUUGGGGCAUAUUGUAUCGAGUGACGAGAUUAAAGUGGAUCCCCAAAAGAUUGAGGCAGUGAUAAAAUGGCCUAGACCCACGACUCCAACUAAUAUUUAGAGCUUCUUGGGCGUGGCGGGUUAUUAUAGAAGAUUUGUAGAAAUUUUUUCUUCCAUAUCUAUUUCGAUUACUAAAUUGACUCAAAAAAAGGUGAAGUUUGUGUGGUCUAAUCUAUGUGAAAAUAGUAUUAAGAAUUUGAAAGACAAGCAAACUACUGCUCCUAUUUUGACCCUUCCCGAGGGUGUAGAUGUCUUUGUGGUUUACUGUGAUGCAUUUUGUGUGGGACUUGGAUGUGUACUGAUGCAACAUGAUAAGGUGAUAGCUUACGCAUCUAAGUAGUUGAAGGUGCACGUGUGAAAUUACCCCACUCAUGACUUGGAGUUAGUAGCUGUGUUGUUUGCGCUUAGAAUUUGGAGGCAUUAUCUCUAUGAAGUGUAUGUUGAUAUUUAUACUGACCACAAAAGUUUGCAGUAUGUUUUCUCACAGAAAUAAUUAAACCUCACAUAAAGGUGUUGGAUAGAGCUUCUGAAAGACUAUGAUAUGAGCCUGCAUUACCAUCCGGGCAAGGCUAAUAUUGUAGCCGACACUCUCAGUAGGUUGUCUAUGGGCAACCUUUCUCAUGUAGAAGAAGGGAAGAAAGAGAUGGUGAAGGAUAUUCACCGCCUUGCAAAUCUGGGAGUAUGACUCUUACAUUCUGAAGAUGGAAGGGUGAUUGUUCAUGAAAUAACUAAGUCAUCCCUUUGUGCUGAAGUUAAAGAGAAGCAAGUUGAAGAUCCCAUCUUUAUGCAAAUCAAGAAAGAUGUAGGUCAGCAAAAGGUAAUGUCGUUUGAAAUUGGUGGUGAUGGUAUUUUGAGAUUUCAGGGUAGGUUGUGUAUUCUGAAUAUUGAUGGACUGCGGGAAAGAAUCCUUGAUGAGGCUCACACCUCGAGGUAUGUUGUUCACACAAGCUCUACUAAGAUGUACCAUGAUAUGAAAUCUUUGUAUUGGUGGAAUAAUAUGAAACGUGAUGUAGCUGAUUUUGUUUCCAAGUGUUUGAACUGUCAGCAAGUGAAGGUAAAGCAUUUGUGGCCAUAAGGUACUUCCCAAGAGAUAGCUCUGCCUUUAUGGAAGUAGGAGAUGAUCAAUAUGGAUUUCGUUACAGGACUUUCGAAGUCCCGAAACCAGUAUGACUCCAUUUGGGUGAUUGUAGAUCGGUUGACAAAGUUAGCCCACUAUUUGCAUGUGCGGACUAAUUAUUCAGGAGACAAUUAUGCAAAGUUGUACAUUGAGGAAAUAGUCCAUUUGCAUGGAGCACCUGUCUCUAUUAUAUCUAACCGAGUUACGCAGUUUUCUUCUCAGUUUUGGAUAUCUUUUCAGAUAGGUUUAGGAAUCCAAGUGAAUCUAAGUACAACAUUCCACCCUCAGACUGAUGGGCAGGCUAAGUGCACCAUUCAGACCCUUGAGGAUAUGUUGAGGGCCUGUGUGAUUGACUUUAAAGGUAGUUGGGUAGAUCACUUUCCACUGAUAGAGUUUGCUUAUAAUAACAGCUUCCAUUCCAGUAUUAAGAUGGCACCGUUUGAAGCACUGUAUGGUAGGAGAUGUAGGUCUCUGAUAGGGUGGUAUGAAGUAGGUGAAAUACAGAUAUUUGGGCCUAAUCUUGUUCAUCAGGCGAUGGAGGAGAAGGGAGUUAGAGUUUGAAGUUGGAGAUAUGGUAUUUCUUAGAGUUUCUCUCAUGAAGGGAGUUAUGCAUUUUGGGAAGAAAGGUAAGAUGAUUCCUCACUAUAUAGGACCAUAUCAUAUCAUAAAAAGGAUAGGUGGAGUUGCAUACGAGUUGGAGUUGCCUGCAAGUUUAGGUUCUGUUCACCCGGUAUUCCAUGUGUCCAUGUUGAAGAAGUGAAUUGGAGAUCAUUCUUUAGUAUUACCUAUUGAAGAAAUCAAAGUGAAAGACUCUUUGUCUUAUGAAGAAGAGCCUGCAGAAAUCUUAGACCAUCAAGUUAAAAAGUUGAGGAGCAAAGAGAUAGCCUCAGUUAAGGUAUUGUGGAGGAAUCAGAAAGUUGAAAAAGCCACCUGGGAAUUAGAAGACGAUAUGAGAAUUAGAUACCUAAAUUUAUUUGAUCCGGUGAAUGAAGCAAUGUAAGGUACAAUCUUUGUCCUUUUCUUUCUAUGCCUUUGUUUGCUUGAAAAAUCGUGCUUGAUUGUAACUUCUGCAUCGUCUUUCGGGGAUGAAUGAUCCCAAGGGGGGAUAAUGUAACGCCCCGUAAAAGUCGUGCAUGGAUUAGCCUUUAAUAGUGUGUUCUUAGACUUAAGACUUGAAAAAUAUUUCUAAGUGUAAUGAGGACUUAGAGUCAUUUUAGCUGGCAAUCUUCGGGAUACAACUUUCAACCUUCCCGACAUCCAUUUCUGGAUUUUCUUGUUGCGUUGUGAUGGGGAAAAGUUAUAGUACAUCUCAGAAGAGUUUCCAAAUUUUAGACGAUCUUAAGGGAAAGUUUGGAUUUCCAAUCCAGUGGCAGCGCGUGAUAGGCCCACGCCGUCUACUGGAUCGCCCGCCCUGGGCUGAAGCCCGCGAUUGAGCAGGCGAAGCCUGCCUAAUCGCAGUGCACUAAGGCCCGCGUCGCCUGCUAUAUCGCACCACACUUAAUUUUCAGUCUCAUCCAGGAAAUUAAUGGAAAAUUUAUAAUUUACCAAUCCUCUAUCAACUUAAACACGGGAUUUAAUCCCUAAAGAGCCGAAUUACACACAUAUUCACCAAAAUUGCUCAAGAACUCUCCUUAAUGCUUCAAAAUAAAAAUCCAAGAAACUCAAGAUUCAACCAUGGGUUUUUGAAACUAAUUGCAUAUUUGGAAUCUCCAGAACGUAGGCUUCAAGAAACACCUAUUAUCUUCGCAUAUAGAGGUACGCGGGGCCUUCCUAAAAUCUCAUGGGCAUAUAAAUCAUGUUUUAAGAAAGGGGUUUUUGAAUUCAAGAACAUAUUAAUGUUUUAGAAGCUUUAAUGAUAUUGUUUUGGCCUUUUGGAUUUCCCCCAAAGUGAUUUGAAAGUUAUACGUAUAUGUAUAUACGUGUUUGUCCUGAAAUAUCAAUUGAGAGCAUGAUUAUAAUAAAUUCCUCUCUUGUUAUGAGUUUUCCCAUCUUCAUAUGACAUGAAUUAUUUUGAAUGCAUUUUGAAAAGCAUGAUAUGAAAUACUUUGGCUUUUGCUAUGUUUUGAAUAUGUUUUGAAUACUAAAUGAGAGGAUUAUGAAUGUUGAAUAUGCAUAUAUGGAAAGAAAAAAUUUUGCCAAAAGCACAUGACCACCAUAUGUUUGAUGAAAGUUUUUGCAUGGUUUUGACUUGAGUUUUGGAACAUGAAAUUUUCUAUGCAAAUUACAUGUUUGGGUGGUAUGAAACUAUAUUUUUAUGAAAGAUUAUGCUUAAUGCAUUAUGGCUCAGAAAGAGGACUUGCAAGUCUUGGUAUGACGAUACCAGACUAAGAAAAUGCCAUAACACACAUGGACUAAUACAAAAAUUAGACUUUAGCAGAUUUGCAUGUUUUAGAACUUCAAAAUGAUACAUGUUUAGAAAAGGUUAAAAUUGGGCAUAAAGAGAUGUUAGGUGGUCCCCAAAGAAGGCGUGAGUUCAAAUAACUCAUUGCCCAAAAUCGUGAUUUACCAAUCCGGGUAUACUGUUAUACGCUAGCUUAAGUGCCGUGUGGCGUAUCAGACUUAAACACUCCAACCCUUGCGGCACACUUGUGUUGGGGGCUUCCCCGCCGAGUCAAUGGCAGAUUCCAUAUAGCCCGUGGAAUAUCAGGCUUGUAGGGGAGUGCCACCUAACUCAGAUGUAAUACAAAGAUCAGAAAUUGUUUGACAAGAAUGUGUCAGAAUGUUUCAAAUGCUGCCCAUAUGUUUUUCAGAAACUAUUUUAUGUAUUAUGUUUAAUGAAAACUUUGCUUAUAUAUAUAUAUAUAUAUAUAUAUAUAUAUAUUUUCAAAUACUCUAUUUUGGACUGCUUCGCAUGCCAGUACUUUUGUGCUGACCCCUCUCCUUCUAGGUCUGAGGUGCAGUCUAGGGGUCCAGCAAAUUAGUAGAUAUUUCUGGUCACAGACUAGACUGAGCAGUGGUGAGCCUUCUAUGAUCCAUAAGGCUUGAUUAUUAUAGAUACUAUGUUUAGUGAUGUUUUGGUCUACUGAGGGCCUUGUCCCAGUUAUUAAACAACUUGUUUAGUUCAUAGUAGAGAUUUUCGCAGACUGUGUCAGACAUUAUUAUUCAGAUACAUUUACAGAUUGACCAUGUUUCCGUACUAAUUUCUAUUUUUCCGUAUUAUCUUUUAUAUGAAUGUUUUCCAUGAUUACCAGAUACAGAAGGGUGUUCCGGGCCUUCAUGGUUUGGGAUGCUCGUCAUGGCUAGGGCCUUGGCUCAGGUCGUGACAACUGUGUAUAGGGGGAAGAGCACCAGAAACUUGGGGAACAUUUUCAGCAUCAACUUCAACUAUAAUUAGAGAAUGGGCAAAGAAUCUCUUUUUAGGAAGGUAACUGGUUAGGCAAUGGCCCUUUUAAAGCAGUUGUAUCCUGAAGUUUACACGUUGAACCAGCAACAAAGGGCAAAAGUUAGUAGCCUUUUGGCCAUAAAAUUUUUUUCCUAUUUCCCAGAAAAUUAUUUCACUUUAGUGAAUAAAGUGAAAACACGUUGAGUUUGGCCAUGAAUUUUCCAACUCCCAUUUCAGAAAAUUCUUUGGAAAGUGAAAAAAAGUUUUACUUGUUUUCACUUUUUUCACUCAUACUUCUCUCACAAAAUUUCAAAAACAACUUUAAUUUAUAUUCAUGGCCAAACAUAACUCCAACUCCAACUUCAUCUUCAACUCCAACUCCAACUCCAACUUUGGAAAAAAAUAUUUUUCAUGGCUAAACGGGGCUUGUGAGGUAUGGAAUAAUCAAGGAUGGAACCUCACUUUUUAGAAGACAGUUGAAUAAUUGGGAGCUGGACAAAUUCAUUGUAUUUUUCAAUAGUCUCAACCAAUUCAAUGGAGUGUCACUGGAUCACGAUAGAUUAUGUUGGUUGGGAGUCAAAACAAGAGUUUAUUCAGUAAGGUCAGUAUAUCAUUGGAGAAAUUACAACAACACACAGAUACAAUGGCCCUCGAGACAACUAUGGAAGGCAAACAUACCAUACAAAGUAGCAUGCUUUGUAUGAUUGGUGGUAAAGAGAGCUUGAUUGAUACAAGACAGGAUGCAAAUAAAGUAGUCCACAUAUGCUCUAUUUGCCUUCUAUGUGGAGAUUAUGCAGAAACAAAUAGCCAUCUUUUUUGCAUUGCAGGGUGACCUCUCAGUUGUGGGAUAUAUUUCUAGCUAAGACUAGAUUGAGUUGGUUAAUGCCCACUAAUACACUGGAUGUGCUAACUAGCUGCAACAGAAGAGGAGGAUCUAAAGCCCAAAAACAGAUUUGGGAAAUGAUUCAAGGACGUAUUUGGUGGACUAUAUGGAAGGAGAGAAACUCAAGAGGUUUUGAAAACAAAAGAAACUCCAUCCAGAUGAUAAACCAUAACUGUAUUCAAAUUUGCAUUUUUGGUGUUUUGAAAUGUUCAUUGAUACAGGGACAUUGGCACAGUUUUUAGAGUCCGUAUAAAAAAAUGUUUUGCUAACCUAGCCUAGAUGUAGCUUGUAUCUAUAACCUAUAUGAUUUUGUUGGAAUCAAUACAAAUGUUAUCUUAUUAAAAAAGAAAAAAAAGUAGAGCACAUGGUGAGAAAUGUGUGUUGAUUGUUCCAUACCUCCCAUAUCUCAAAAGGAACAACAUAGUCAUUAUACAAUUGAGUAUUCUGUUCAAUUCCAUUGCUAACUCCUUGGCUUUUUCUCGAAGAAUAUUACUUAUAUCAGGUGAUGUUUCUCCGGAAACAGAUUCAUAUGUGCUUGUAGAUGCCUCUAACCUAGAAGCCAUAGCCUCCAGUUCAUCUUUAAUUUUUAUUUGAAAUUAAAGAACAACAAGCUUUUCUUCAAGAAAAUCAAGCAGCCCAUUGUUGCCUACUAGUGGCAUUAGAAGUGGUACCUGCUGAUUUGGGUGACGUACUGAGCUUGGGGAUGAUUGCACUUAACCUGCAAACUUGACUAAAAACAAUCUCUAAUUCUAUGGCCUGGCUUGCGACACCCGAAACAUACAUCACUACCAGCUCUGUAGAUACCCUGAUGGUUUCUUCUAUAUUUAUGGCAAAGAGGAUUUGUUCGAGCACUUCUGACACUACCCUGAGAUUUAGAGCCUGAUGCCCUACCUUUGUUACCAUUUAUAAACUUAGGUGUUGGAGCACUGGCUAAGGAUGGAGCUGAAAUUAAAGAUAUUGGACAAAAUUGGGAAUGAUUACCAACUUCUGACUUAGGCUAAGUGAAAUUGAAGCUACCCAUUCUAGCUCUCUUAUUUUCCCCCUCUCUUUCCUUAUUAUUAGCCUCUUCUAUCUAUUGAGCAUGGACCAUUAGCCUAGAUAUGUCCAUAUCCCUAAUUAACAUCGUAGUUCUGCACUCCUUGACCACACUCUCCAAUGCCCAGACACAAACUUGCUCAUUCUGAACCUAUUCUCUGCUACUACAUGGGGAGCAUACCUGGCUAACUGAAUAAACUUGAGGGAAAACUCUUUCACACUCAUGUUACCUUGCCUAAGAUUGAUGAACUCUAACACCUUGGCUUUCCUUAAUUCUAAGGGAAAGAAUCUUUCUAGAAAAAUAGUAGCAAACUCUUCCCAUUCUAUAGGCUCUGCAUCUGUACCCCUGUCUACCUUACACUGGUUCAACUACGUAUGAGCCAUAUAUUUUAGCUGAUAGGCAGCUAACUUAUCACUCUUAUUGGAAGUUACUCCCAUAAUAUCUGUGACUUUCUGAACCUGAUCGAGGAACUCCUGUGGAUCCUCUUCAGACUUGGAUCCAAAAAAUAGGGGAGGAUUCAUUUGGGUAAAGUCUCAAAUCUUGGAUGCAUCAGUAUUGGCCACUGGGUUGUCAUGAACAGUUGCUGGCCAUUCAUUCUGGGCUGUUAUGGAAUAGGCUAGAGUAGUAAACACAACUUUGAAUUUUACAUGGGAUGCUCGUCCAGGGGAUCUGCCUGAAUGGGCUGAGGUGCUGGCUAGUUUCCUGUUCUUCCUACAUUGUUCUUUUUGGGAGGCAUGUUCUGUAAAUAGAAGGAAGAAAAGAAUCUAACUGAGAGUAUUAACACGAGCUCAUGCUGACCGCAUGACAUAAAUACUGAAAGAAGGGAAACUUUUCUAAAAAUAUACCUCGUAGCCUCUUGCCUAUAAGUGUGGCACACUACACACCCAUGCACAAGACUCUACUUGACAUAGCUUUCAGAAUCCUUAGGACUUUAUUAAACAUUAGGCUAUGAUACCAAGUUUUUAGUGCCCCGAGUAUGCACACUGGAUGCCACACAAUGCUUACGACCCUGAAGGACUACAAGCUAACCCAUGACUGGUACCUGCCGUGAGCACUGAAUAAUAAUACUAAAAUAUUACGGAGGUUAGGAUGAAAUUCCAUAAUGUUCUUAAUCUUAGUACUAUUUUAUAAUAUGUGAUAAUAUUAGUUGAAAACUGAAUAUUGUCUGAACUAAACUAGUCUGAAAAGCCUUUACUGAAUUGUCUGAAUGUGGAGUUAAUGGGACAAACCCCUAACUAAAUUCUACUAAUAUAAUACCAAAUCUAUUAGAAUACAAAAAUAAAAGAACAUCCUUGAUAGAUGAGGACUCACUACUGAAUCUUCUAUUGCUGACUGAAUCUGGCUAAGCUUGGUCACAAAUAUGAGCGUCCGAACCUAUGAUAUGAGACAUCAUAGAAUAAAGAAAAUAUAUAUGUCAGUACGUGAAAUGUACUGGUAUGCUAGAUGAGGUAAGGCUGAAUGCAAAGGUUCAUUUACAUGAAUAGUAACUGACUAAAUGAUAUGGAAUAACUAAAUAAGAGUACAUGGAAUAAUGAAACUUCUGUAAAUAAUGAGUAUGUAAUUCUGCACAUACAUUUAUAUACUGUAUCUAAGAUUAUUACUGAAAAUGAGUCUAUAUUUUGAUAACUUAGUAACUAAUAUCUGAGGUUUCUGAUAAUUGAAUUACUGAUAACUGGGUGACUAUUUUUGACAGUCCUGAUUCUGUAGAACUAAACUGAGUUCUAUGUUGAGACUAAAACUGAAACUAAAAAUGUGGGAGGUAGUCAUCUAACAUGCCCAUAUCUAAAUGGAUUGGGGUCCAACCUAUAACCCCAGUUGGAAAGGUGUUAGUACCGUGCCACGGGUACAAACACUGGCUAUGUGGAUCCACUAAAAUAACAUCCCGCAGGACUAAGGUUCACCCUCUACUGUAGGUUCCCUAAUGAGAAUGGUAUUACCCUCAACUGGCAGGUAAACACCUUAUCAACCCUCAACUGGCAGGUUGAUAUCUCAAUCUAUGCUGGCUACGUAGUUUUGGAAUAUAAGGACUGCUACUAAGGACACACCCUCUACUGAUAGGUGAGCCCCUAUCCUUGGGCUCGCUCACUGCUGAAUCCUACUCCCAACUGAAUUACACUGAUUAUUAAACUGAACUAAAUUAGACUAAGUUUCAAUGAGUUCUAUAACUGACUAAGUACUACUGUUCGUGACAUUACUGAGACUAUUCUGUAACUACUAUGUCUCUAGGUAUACAACUAGUUUUUGAGUAUUAAAUACCUCCAGGACUCAAUAGCAUUAGAAGUAAAGCAUGGAAUGAUAUUAAAAGCAUAAAAAAUGUUGCUUGUUAAUAAUGCAUUAAUUUAGACAUUUUGACAAACACUUGAGAUACAUGAAUUGUUCAUGAAUGAGACCACAUAAUGACAAGUCAUGAUUUCACUAUUCAAUUCACAUAAGACUUUUAUCAAACACUUAGGGAGCAAGGUCAUUUCACAUAAUAAUAGUCAACACAUGAACAUCAUGGAUACAAUACUCAAUGGUAAAUUCAAGCUUCAAUAUGCCAAUCAUCUAGUUUAUCACACAUGCCACUUUAAUUGCAUAAAACUUAAAAUUAAUCAUUGAUUAAAACCCAAAUAAUAUCAUGAACAUGGAUGAAGGGUGUGAUGAUGUUUGGGAAGAAGGUCAAGCUUAGCCCUAGGUAUAUUGGUCCAUUUGAUAUUUUUCAGACUGUUGGUGAUGUAGCUUAUGAGUUGGCUUUGCCCCCUGAUCUAUCAGUGGUUCAUCCAGUUUUUCAUGUUUCUAUACUUUGUCGCUUUAUUCUUGAUGAGUCUCAUGUCAUUCGUUGGGAUUCAGUUCAGUUAGAUGAGUGGUUGUACUUUGUUGAGGACCCGAUUUCCAUUUUGGCUAGUUAUGUUAGGCGAUUGCGCUCUACAGUUAUCCUUGUGGUUAAGUUCUAGUGGUGACAUCAACCUGUCGAUAAAGCUACUUGGGAGAUCAAGUCUAAUAUGCAUAUUUCUUAUUCCAGAUCCUUAUUGAUUUAGGUAUUUCUUUGCCUUAGUUCGAGAACGAACUAGAUUUCUAGUAGUGGAUGAUGUAACGACCUAAAAAUUUGAUGAAAUAUGUGAAAUUUAUGAUUUAACUAUUUUACCCCUCCCGUUAGUUGCAUUAUGAUAUUUCUGGGUAUGGGAGUGACUGCCAUGAUUUUUGAUGCAUUUUGUUACCAUUUAUACGAUAUUGUAAUUUUUGAUGGUUUCAAGAGCCUUAUUUUAGACUUAUGGAGAUAUCUUAUGAUCCAUGCAAUGGAUGGCCGAAUGGUCUGCACCAACAAUUCUGGAAUAUUGAUUUUAGGCUGGGUAGACCUUUGUUUUGGGUCUUGGUUCACCCAAGUUCAUUUCUACCUAUUGAUCGCAAAGUUGAAAAAUUAAAAAUAUAGGUGUGAUACCUACAUUUAGUCUAAAUGCUCUUAAAUAGAAAAUCCGACUUUUCCAGUAGAUCCAGAAUGUCGAUUUUAGGGUGUUAUUAAAUUUGGUAUAAUUUUACGACUUGUUAAUAACUAAUUGAAACACAGACCAUUUUCAUUUUACAACAACAACCGCCAAGGUUUUCACAGUAGGCACUUCACAAUAGGGGAAAAUAUCUCAUAGAAAUCAAUACCCUCAACUUGGGCAUCAUCUCUAACCACCGAUUUUUCCUUAUCACCCCUCAACUUGUUAAUAUCUUGAUUAAUUUCUCAAAACUCAAAAAUCUUAGGGCUUUAUUUUAAACCCCAAUUUCACUUUUUUCACUUGAACAAUAUUUUUAUCUUAUACUUACUAGUUUUUCAUCAAUUUAAUCCUUAAAAUAAUUUUGAUUUUUGAUUUUAAUCGUGAUUUUAAAGAAUUUUACCUGGUAAAGCUUAAAAUGGAUUUUCUUCAAUUUGAACCUCGUUUUUUACUCGAUUUGAUUUGGAUUUUUAUCUUUAGAUUCCUAAAAAUAUGAGUAACAUGUUUUUAAAGUAUGAGAAAGAGAUAUUAAACUGUCAGCCAACUUGGUAUGUAUAAAAUGGCAGUCAAGCUCACUAUGUUAGGUCCGCUCAUGGAAGACAGGGUCCUUGACUUUGUUUCCUCAUAUCACUCUACAGAAUGUGCUUUAUGUCCCUACUUUCCAAUUAAACUUGAUCUCUAUUAAAAAAUUGUUAGACCAGUUGAAUGGGGUUGUUUACUUUACUAGAACUUUGUGUGUUUUACAGGCCCUUUUCAGAAGAUGCCUCUAGUUCUUCGUAAGGUAGACAAUGGUCUAUACAAACUACUCUUGUCAUCCAGUACUGCUGGGAGUUGCCUUUCAUAUUUUUCUCCUCAUAUUCCUAGUUGUUGUACUUCUGAUAUAUCUGCACCUCCUGAUGUAUCUGUGCUUUGUAAUUCUUUUAGUCCCUUUUCUGUUAAUAUUAAAAAUCAUGUAUCUGUCAUGCAUAAUUCCAUGCAUAAAAUAAAUGUUAUUUUGAAUUACAGACUUGGUCAUAUUCCUUUCUCUAAAAUGAAACACAUUCCAAAUGUGUAACCUUUUGUGAGUCCUAAAUAGUCAUUCCCUUGUCCUGUCUGUCCAUUAGCUAGAUAAACAGGACUUUCUUUUCCUGAUAGUUCCAUAAAUUCAACUUCACCUUUCAACUUACUCCAUAUUAAUACUUGGGGUCCAUAUCACUCUCUCACAUAUGAUGGGGCUAGAUAUUUUCUCACCAUUGUUGAUGACUUUUCUAGAGCUACAUGGACCCAUUUAAUGGGAGUAAAAAGCAAUGCCUUUGAUCUCUUAAAAUAUUUUAUUAACAUGAUAGAAACUCAGUUUAGUUCUAAAGUGCUUUGCAUUAGGAGUGACAAUGUUCUUGAAUUAGGAUCUAGCAAUGCUAGUUCUGCUUUCUUUUCAUCCAAAGGUAUCCUUCAUCAAACAUCAUGUCCACAUACUCCACAACAAAAUGGGGUGGUGGAAAGAAAACAUAGGAAUUUACUCGAAGAUGCUAGAGCCUUACUAUUUCAAGCAUCUGUCCCUAUCAAAUUUUGGGGAGAUUGUAUGUUGACUGCUAUAUAUCUGAUUAAUAGGUUCCCUUCUCCUCUACUGGCCAAUAAAAGACCCUAUGAGGUCCUCUAUUCCCAACCUCCUUCUUACUCUCAUCUAAAAUCCUUUGAAUCUUUGUGCGUCUCCACUGCCAUUACACCUCACAAAGAUAAGUUUACCCCUAGAGCUGUUCCUUUUGUAUUUUUGGGUUACCCUUUUGGUAAGAAAGGUUACAAAUUAUAUAGUCUUGACUUUAAGUUGUUUUGUGUCUAGAGAUGCCAUUUUUCAUGAAUAUAUUUUCCCAUUUUUUGCUUCUCCGCAUCCUUCUUCCACACCUUGUCCUAUUUUUUCUUUUUAAUUUUAUGACCCUGUACCUACUGCAUUUCAUCCAUCCACUCCACAUGGAACUCCUGAGGGUUCAUCCCUGUAUGAACCAGCUGAGAUUGAUACUCUUUCUUUCUUUCCUACCUCUACUGAUCCUAAUAUUCCCCCAUUUUCCCACUUUUUCCUUACCUCUUUUAAGACAUUCUACUAGAUCACAUUCCAUUUCUAAAUACCUUCAUAACUAAUCUAUUCCCUUUUACCUUAAGCAUACUGCUGGUCAAGCCUCUAUUUCUUCUAUUAUUCUAGAUUCUACUUCUGGGAGACAUGCUGUGGUUGAGCCUUAUUGUUAUUCUUAAGCUGUUAGCAUCCCUGCUUGGCAGGAUGCUAUGAAACUUGAAUUUGAGGCUUUAGAUGCUAAUGGUACUUGGUCCAUUGUCCCUUUUCCUUUUGGUAAAAAGUCCAUUGGUUGCAAGUGGGUAUACAAAAUCAAGUAUAUAGCUGAUGGCACUAUAGAGAGGUAUAAAGACAAACUGGUGGUUAGGAGUGAUACCCUAGUUGAGGGUAUUGAUUUCUAUGAGACGUUUUCCCCAGUUAUGAAGAUGUCUACUAUGAAAACCUUGACGACUAUUAUUGUAAAACAAAAAUGGCCGAUGUUUCAAUUAGAUAUUAAGAAUGCCUUUUUGCAUGAAAACCUUACAAAUCAUGCUCAUUUACUCUUGUUGGGAGUUGUUUCCCCUCCAACUUUCGGGGGGAGGGGGUGUUGGAGACUGAUUUUAUGUACUCAUUUGGGUCAUUAUACAAUUUUCUCUUUUGUUGAUGUAUUGGGCUUGGACCAUUAAGUUUAUUGUCCAUAAUAUGACCCGGUCCAUAUUACAAUGUAUAUAUAUACAUAGGGUCUGAGAUAUUUUCAAGAUAACAAUUCAUUUCACUCUUUUCAAUAAUAAUAAAAUGCUCCUACUUCUCUCUGCUUUUCUCUCUCUAGAAGCUUCUAUUGGUUUCAACUAUUUUUUGUCAAUUUGCUUGAUCUUCAGCUUCUCAUUCGAAUGUUAACAAAUCUCUUAGUUCUAUUAUUUAUCAAAGGUUUCUUGCUUUUGAUUUCUUUAGUCGUGUCUUGAAGAGAAUAAGAAAGACCCGUACUUGGAUCCUGCCCUAGAAUCAUUCAGUUAGAUUUGUUCAUAAGAUAAAUCUAUUUGCAUUAAAAAAGUACAAUUUAUAUCCUGCAUGUGAAAUCAUUUUCUAACCAGGAUAUUAUGUUUCUCGAACUAUGUCAAUGAGUGCAUGGCAGAUUCUCUGAGAAUAGUUUAUUUUUGAAGAAUUCGAAACAAGUUCCAUAAUAAGAAAAUACAUGUGGAAUAGAUGCCCACAGUUAUGUUGGAUCAUCAAUGUUAUGUAAUUUUGAUCUUGAGUAACAUCAUGGGUGCAACCUAUCUUACAUAUUUAAGUAGACCUUCAAAUAUUGAAGGCCCCAAAAAAUAUUAUGCAUGAUAUCAUUAUAUUCAACUUGUACUUAUGUAAUUAUUAUCAACAAAAGAUUUUAAAAUUUAAUGUCCUUUUAAUUAGGUUUAAGUGAUGUAGAUGAGUAAGUGAAUAUAUAUUUUUUUCAUUCAGUUGUUAAUUCUACUCAGUAUAUUUAUCUUUUCCUCUGCUUUAAUUUUUUCUUCUCAAUGUGCAUUUUUUCUUGUUUUUAUAUGAUUAAGUAUUAAUAAAUAGAGUAACUCAAUAAUUGUGCUAUAGAGGUGACAGAUAAUUAAUAGACGAUAGAAUAGUCAAGCCGUUGAAGCAUUUGUAAUAGGAAAAAUGUCAUAAGAACUUUUUUUUCUUUAUCGGAUGUCCCCAAAGGGACUAAUGUCAUCAAAAUUUAAUUGGUUGGAUUCAGCAGUACUCAAAAUAUUCACCCGAGACCAAGAACUUAUCUCUUUAUCUAUGACAUGAUUUCAAAAAUUUUAAUUUGAUCAAAUUAUUGAUGCCUUGGUGAUUUCAAACACAUCAAAAACCUUUAUAUUUCUAUGAACCUGUGGUUGUGGACCAUCAUACGUUGAAACAUAUACUAUAUGAGAAGCUUCUUUGAAAUUCUUAGUUGAUUGACUCUGACUACAUGCAAAAAGAAAGUUCCUAUGAAACUUUCUAGUUGAUUUGAGUUACAUCAUGACUUAAAGACCUCAACAGGCUUGUGAGGAAGUGAACAACUUCAAUUCAAAAGUGAAGGAGGACAAAAAUGCAAUAAAGUUCCUACUUCAAAUUCUAUAAGUACAUGUAUAUAGAGUUUGACAUAGAAAGCAUCCCAAAACUAAAAUUGGAAUGUACGCUUUCAAUUUCAACAUGCUUUCCACAGAAAAGCUCAGUACCAAGCUCUACAAUAUCAAAAGGGACUUACAAAAACAACGAUACAGGAAGCUCUUAUUCAUAAAAUGCUGCCACAAUUCAAUUUAAUCAAAGAAUUGAUCAAGCUGAAGCCAAAAUACUUCCCUCUCCCAUUUAAAAGGAAGUAGCCCAUUAUUAUUUGCCUUGGUGAUAGAUGUUUUGACAUGACAUAUUCAAAAGAAGGUGUCUUAGUGUAUGUUAAUUGUUGAUGAUGUGGUACUGAUUGACAAAACUCAGAGAGGAUUUAAUGAUAAGUUAGAGAUUAAGUGACAAACCUUUGAAUCUAAAGGAUUUUGGUUGAGCAGGAUCAAGACAAAGUACAAUGAAUGUAAGUGUAGUGACUCGUUGCAGGAGGCUGACGUGGUAGUAAAACUGGAUUCUCAGGUUAUUCGGAAGAAGGGUAGUUUCAAGUAUUUGAGGUGUAACGACCUAAAAAUUUGAUAAAAUAUGUGGAAUUUGCAAUUUUGUGUGAUUUAACUAUUUUACCUCUCCUCGUAGUUGUAUUAUGGUAUUUCUGGGGGUGUGGGAGUGAUUGAAAUAAGUUUCGAUGCAUUUUGAACCAUUUAUGUGAUUGUGAUUUUCGAUUGCUUCGAAAGCCUUAUUUUAGACUUAUGGAGAUAUCUUUUGAUCCGUACGAUGGAUGGCUGAACGAACUAUCCCAGCAGCUCCAGAAUAUUGAUUCUAGUUUGAGUAGACCUUUGUUUCAGAUUCUGAUGCAUCCGGGCUCAUUUCGACCUAUUGAUCAGAUAGUUGAAAAAUUAAAAAUAUGAGUGUGGGAUCCAAAAUGUCAAUUUUAGGGUGUUAACAUGUUUGGUAUGAUUUUAUGACUUUUAACUCUCAUUUCGACCCUCGAUUUGAAAAAUUAUGAUUUCGAGUUUCGGGGAUCAACUUUGUGAAAAUGAUAUUUAUUAAAAAAUAUGCCUUUACCUACGCGUCCGAAAUGUCGAAUUUAGUAUACUUGCAUAGUUCGUUUGUGUAUGUCGGUCUCCAAACGAAUCCCGAUCACCCCAUUGAAGUUCGUUUCAACUUAAGGGAAAAAUCUGCACUAAAUAUUAUAGAAUAUGUGUAAUAUAACAGUUUUCUUUUUACCCCUUUGGUCCCAUUUGGUUCAUUUUUCAUCUUGCCUCUUGAGAAUUAAACCCUAAAAUAGUGUGAAAGCUCAAAAGUAAAGUUUUUAGGAGAUUGGGAAGCUAGAUUAAUACCUAUUUCUUGAUUUUAUUACGGAUUUAAGGUAAGACUCACCCUUUUCUUUGUAAUUUCUUGAUUAAUUUCUCAAAACCACAAAAAUCUUAGAACUUGAUUUUAAAUGCCAAUUUCACUUCUUUUCACUUGAAGAAUACUUUUAUCUCAUAAUUAUUAGUUUUGCAUCAAUUUAACCCUUAAAACAAUUCCAAUUCUUGAUUUUAACCCAAAUUUUAAAAUUUUUUACCCGGUAAAGCUUAAAAUAGUUUUCUUCAAUUUGACCCUCGUUUUUUACUCGAUUUGUCUUGGGUUUUCAGCUGUAGAUUCCUAAAAGUAUGAGGAAUAUAUUUUUGAAGUAAAGUUUCGAUUUUGCCCUUUUUAUUGGAAAUCCGUUCUGGGGUCUGUUUUGACCUCGAACCAAAAGUAGUCAAUAUGAGUGUCGUUGGUUUUGUUUUGAUGAAUAGAUUUCUUAUUUGAUGUUUUUAGUAGAGUUCGGAUCAUUCGUGAAAAGUAAGGUCGUGGGUUCUAAGUGUAGCAGACUAGUUUUGGCUUUUGAGGUAGGUUAUGAAUUAACUCUUUCAGACUGUGUUGGAUAGUAAACGAUGAUACAAAAUGCAUAGUAAGGGUGUGAACUAAUAAUGAACAAUGGAUAUCUAUGUGUUGUGCCUGUGUGGGAGCCUAUAUGUGAUGUAAUUGUCGAAAUUAAGAUAUUAUGUGAUGUGUGUGACUGCGUGGAGUCCUAUAUGAUGUUGAUACCCUUAAAUACAUAUGAAUAAUUAUACUAUAUUGUUGAAUUACCUAAUGUGGUACCAUUGUUGUAUUGUGAUACAUUCAUACUUUUUGAUAUAUAAGACACAAAAAUUCAUUGAUGAAAUAGAAAUAAUUAGUGGAUGACACACAUGGUUGUGAAAAUACAUCAUGUGGAUUGCGUGUGAAAAUACAUCACGAGGAUUGAUUGUGGAAAUAGUCAUUUUGAAUGGUUGUGAACAUUGCAUCAUCAUUCUCAUGUCAUCAUAUGCAUAAUUUCACUUGUUAGUUUUACUAUUUUAUAUAUACUUGUUGUCAUGUAGGUGUACUUGAUUUAUGUCUUAUGUUAUGUAUGCGUCUUCAAAAUGGAAAUACUGGGAUACUGGAUAUUUAAUUUUAUGGACCAUCUCCGAAGGAUCGUGUCAGAGAAGAGUUGCGAAUAUUGGUGAUCUUGAGACUAUGUACCAAACUUAAGGCUAUGUGCUAAACUUGAGGCUGUAUGCCAAACUUAAGGUUCUGUACCAAACUCGAGACUGUGUGCCAAACUCAUAGUUGUGUGCCAAUACAAUGCAUUAUCAUCAUCAUCAUCAUAUAUAUUGGACCCACUUUAUUGUUAUUAUGUGUUGCCAUAUUGACUUGUCAUCUACCUAUUUAUUCUAUAUCUUGACUUGUUAACGUCUAAUUGUUCUAUCUUCUUUUAAUUAUACUUGAUGAUCUUGAUUAUACAUUUUCCUCUCUUGUUCGACUUGUAUGUGAUGUUGUGUAUAUUAGUAUUCCUAUCUUGUGUGUUGUUGUAUUAUAUAUGGAUAUUAUUGAACUAUUUGUACAAGUGGUGUGGGCUGCCGUUGUGGGAUAUUUUUUGAUUGCAGGUGACAUGCCCUUAGUAUAUAUUUUGUAUGCUUUGUUUUCUACUUUGCUCGAUCGGCCUAUGAUACCUACUGAGUACAAGUAGAUCGUACUCAUGCCUAUUGCUCCCUUUUGGUGCAGGUCUGAGCUCGAGUGUGCCUCAGCUUGCUUGACUCGAGUGAUUAUUGACGCUUUCAAGGUAGCAGUUUGUAACGCCCUGAGUGUACAUCCUGGGAGACACAUGGUGCUUACAGUCCUGAGGGACCACAAGCUAACCCAUGAGCUGGUACCUUCUAUGAGCACUGAGUAAAACUGAUAAAAAGGGUUAUAUGCAAAAUUUAACUGAGGAAUGCCAUAAGGUUUUAAGUAAUAAAUCUGAUCGAAUCUGUAAACCAAAAUGAUAAUCCUUAUAAAAUAUCUGAUAAUGAUAAUUAAAAUUUGAGAACUGACUAAUUGUCUGAGAUAUCCGAAAGCCUCUAAAUUGACUGAAUAGGAGUUGAUGGGACAGACCCUAACUAACUUUGUCUAGCAACUGAACUGAAAGCAUGAUGAUAAAAUAGUUUGUCCUUAAAAUAUAAGAACUCACCACUAUACAGUUAAUAGUCUGGAAAGUCUAUACGCAAUUCAGGAAUUGGUGUCCAAACCUAUGAUAUGAUAUAUCAUAGCACAAGAAAAGAGUAUGCGAUCAGUACUAUGAAUGUACUGGUAUGCUAAAUGAGGUAGGCUGAUAUGCAUGGUUUCAUAAACAUGAAUAACAAUUGUCUGAAUAUACAUAUAUAUAUAUAUAUAUGCAUGACCAACCAUAAAACAUGUUCUGAAUAUAGUUUGAAAACUAAAAUACUGAGUACUGAUAAAUGAGUAACUGAUAUUUGUAUGUAAUGGUAAAGCAAACCUGAAAUUGAAUUACUAAGCUGAAUACUGGACUAAGAUUGUGGGAGCUAGAUAUAACCGACAUGCCCUAAUAUACUAUCAGCGUCCAACUUGUAACCCCAGUUGGAAGGGUAUCAGUACUGUGCUAGGGUACUAACACAGGCUGUAUGGAUCCACUAAUCUGAAGUCCUGAAGGACGAGGGUGUCAUGCCUAACUGGUGAGGGACCCCUCAAAAUCUACGGUGACGCCGUAGGUCUGGAACCUAGGGACUGCUACUAGUGCCUCAUGCCUAACUAAUGGGGGAGACACCAUCCAUAUGCUUACUCGGUGCUAAGUGUUACUCCUAUCUGAAUGACACUAAUUAUUAGACUAAACUGAGUUUAACUGAAUGUAAUAAAUGAUCAAGCUAAUAAUGCUCAUAACUAUUCUGAAACCAUUCUAUAGAUACUGAAAACUAGGUAAACAACUAAAUGUAACACCCCGAGUCUGGACCCCGAGUGCUACACGGUGCCAACGACCCUAAAGGAUCACAAGCUAACCCAUGACUGAUAUCUACUAUGAGCACCAAAUAAUAAUUCUGAAAUAAAUAUGAAAAAUAGGCAGAAAUGCCAUAGGGUUCAUAAUUUGAAAUACUUGUAAAUAAUAUCAACUAUAAUAAUAAUAAUCUGCAAAACUGAUUAUUAUUUAAAAGUCUAAUCUGAAAAGCCUCUAACUGAACUGUUUGAAUGUGGAGUUGAUGAGACAAUCCCCCAGCUAACUCUGACUAAUGAAAUAUUGAAGCAACUGAAAAUACUAAAAUAAAAGCUUAUCCUCAAUAUAUGAGGACUCACUACUAAAUUUGAUACUACUGCUGAAUCUGAAUCUUUCUAUGCACGAUCGGGAACUUGAGUGUCCGAAUCUAUGAUAUAAGAUAUCACAAUGUAAGAAAAAGUAUGAAUCAGUACGUGAAAUGUUUUGGUAUGCUAGAUGAGGUAAGACUGAAUGCAAGGGUUCAUAUGUAUGAAUAAUAACCGACUGAAUGAUAUGGAAUAACUGAGUAAGAGUACAUGGAUAACUUAAACUGUUGUAAAUACUGAUUAUGAAAUAUUGUGCAUAUUUAUGUAUACUGUAUCUAAGCUUUUACUAAAGCCGAGUUAUGAAUUCUGAUAACUGAGUACUGAUAUCUGAUAUUACUGAUGACUGAGUUACUAAAGAUGAUUGAUUGUGUCUGACAGUCCUAAUUCUGUAGAACUGAAUUGAGUGCUGUACUAAAACUAAAAUCGAGACUGUGGGAUAUAAUCAUCUAACCGGCAUGCCCCAAAUAAUAUAACUGGGGUCCAACCUAUAACCCCAGUUGGAAGGGUGUCAGUACCGUACCACAGGUAAAGACAAGUUGAAGAGUUACCCUCAUCUGGCAGGUACUGUAAUGAGAACGGAAGAACCCUCAAUUGGUAGGUUGAUGCCUCAACCUACGUUGGCUACGUAGUUCUGGAACACAAGGACUACUUCUAAGGAUCACACCCUCUACUAGUAGGCGAGCCCCUAUCCUUGGGUUCACUCGGUGCUGAAUCCUACUCCUAACUAAGUGACGCUGAUUAUUCUGAAUAUCCCCCGACUCGAUAGCAUGAAAAAUAAAGCAUAUCAUGAUCUUGAAUGCAUAACAAUGUCCACUUGUUCAUAAUUCAUUCAUAGAGAUAUUUUAUCAAACACUUGUAGGGCAUAAGCUUGUACAUGAUUGGGACCACAUAAUGACAUGUCAUGAUUCCACUAUUUACUUCACAUAGACAUUUUAGCAAACACUUGGGGAGCAUGAAUUAUUUCACAUGAUAAAAGUCAACACAUAAAUCAUGGAUACAAUAAUAAAUUUUUGAAUUCAAGGGUUAAGCAUGCAAUUCAUAUAAUUCCCUACAAAUACUAUUCUAAUUUCAUGAAUCUUAUAAUAAUCAUGGAUUUAAAAUCCAAAUAAUAUUAUGAAUGUGCAUACAAUUAAUUUCAGGCAUGGAAUUCAUAAUUCUAUAAACUUGUACUUUUAAAGAUGGAUUCUUGGACUCUAUGGGUGAAAGAAAUCCACAGAUGAAUAUCUAACAUACCUGAGAAGAUUAAAUCUUGAAGGUUCUUGGAAUCAUUCUUGAGUUUGUUUUUGAUUUCUUAAAGCUAGGUUUUUGCCUUUUGAGAGUGUAUGCUUUUAAUUUGGGGAAGAAUGAGUGAAUUAUGACUUAAUUAGGUUAUUUAGGGCUUAAUCACGUGUUUAAGACUGACUUGAGUAAUGGAAAAAUACCUAAUUUUCCCUGAAAAAGAUUUAAAAAUCAUCAUUGGAAAAACCCAAUUUUGGGCCAUGGCACGACGCGGCGCUAUCGCACCGUGUCACUGGAAAAUGAAAAUUGGGAACUGGAUUGAUGGUAUGAUGUAGUGCAAUCGCAAUACCUCACUGAAUUAGGAAUUUGGGACUCAGCGCGAUACGGUGAAAUCACGGGCUUCACUGGAUAGGACAAUUAUGAAAACGAGCCUUGACGCGAUGUGCCGUUAUUGCGAUGGAAUAUUGGAUUUUAAGAAUUACCAAUUGGCAUAUCUCCGCAAUGCGGUGAGAUUUAUUUUGGCACACUGCUUUACAAAACAUGCUAUAGCUUCUCACACGGGUAUCAGAUUUGGGCGAAUUUUACAUUAUUGGAAAGCUGACUGAAUUUCCUAUGCAAUGGAGAGCUCUAAACCUAAAAAUACAAGGUAUUUUAAUUUUUUAUGUGGGAUUACUCAUGUAUUGGUAGUUAAAUUAAGAUAGGGAAAUAUGUGGUGUUACAAUAUCUCCCCUUGGGAACAUUCGUCCUUGAAUGAGACUGAUUAAGCUGAGGAACACUGAUGGACUGAGUUUACAUACUGAACAUGCAUAUAUGAUACAUGAGUACAUGGAUGAAGCUAUUGAUUAGCUGUGUUUUCAUAUUGAACAUGCAUAUCUGAUGCAUGAGUACAUGACUGAGCUGAUUCAUGAAUUCAUGACUGAAUAUGUAACAGUAAUGGAUACUAAGUUUAUAGCUAUAUCUGAACAUGGAAUUGAGUAAAUCUAAGAAAGACUAUUACCUUAAUCUAAAUCUAGGUUUGCAGAGAAGAGGUGAGGAUACUUGGUCCACGUAUUUGCUUAUGCUUCCCAAGUAGCUCCCUCAACGGACUGAUUCCACUAAAGAACUUUGACCAAGGGAACUUCUUUGUUCCUUAGUCUACAAAUAUGAUGAUCGAGGAUUUGUAAUGGAACCUCUUUGAAAGAGAGAUCAUUCUGAAUAUCUAUGCCCUUUAAGGAAACUAUGACUACUGGGUUGCUAAUGCCUUUCUUUAGCAAAGAGAUGUGAAAUACUGGGUGCACUGAAGCUAGAUCUGAAGGUAACUCGAGCUCAUAAGCUACCUUUCCGAAAUGAAUGAGGAUUCUAUAAGGACAGAUAUAUUGGGGUCUGAGCUUUCUUUUCUUGUCGAACAUCUUUACUCCCUUUAUGGGAGAGAUUUUCAAGAAUGUGAAAUUAUCGACCACAAACUCAAGAUCAUUUUUCCUCACAUCUAUAUAUGAUUUCUGUUGACUUUGGGCUGCCCUAAUCCUUUCUCUAAUCAAUUGAACCUUCUCUAAGGCAUUAAACACUAAGUUAGGCCCUACUAUUGCGGCCUCACCUACCUCGAACAAACUAAUUAGAGAUCUAUAUCUCCUACCAUAGACUGCCUCAAAUGGAGCCAUCUGAGUACUAGAAUGAUAGCUGUUAUUAUAUCCGAAUUUGAUCAAAGGCAAGUGACCAUCCCAACCAUCUUUAAAAUCAACAACGCAUGCUCUUAGCAUAUCUUCUAAAGUCUAAAUGGUCCUUUCUACUUGACCAUCUAUCUGAGGGUGGAAGACUGUACUGAGGUGGACUUGGGUACCAAAAUCCUUUUGGAAUGCCUUCCAAAAAUGAGAGGUAAACUAGGUAAAUUUAUGUGAGAUAAUAGAUAUUGGGACUCCGUGUAACUGGACCAACUCUCUGAUAUAGAGUUUGGCAUACUUCUUGGCUGAAUAGAAGGUAUAAACUGGCAAGAAAUGAGUGAAUUUGGUCAUUCUGUCUAUGAUAACCCAAAUCAAAUCAUGCUAACGACGACUAUGAGGCAAACCCAUCACAAAGUCUAUGUUCACUUCUUCCCAUUUCUAUGGGGAAAUACUAAACUCCUACAUGAACCCAUUAGGCUUCUGGUGCUCUAUCUUAACUUGCUGACACGUAGAGCACUUAGCUAUAAACUCCGAAAUAUCCCUUUUCAUCCUACUCCACCAAUAGAUCUCUCGUAAAUCAUGAUAUAUCUUAGUGGCCACUGGACGAAUAAAGUAAUAUGCACCAUGUGCUUCUACAAGAAUUUUAUGCCUCAAGUCAUCUACACUUGGCACACAUAGCCAACCCUGGCAAUGCAACACACUAUCUCUUUCUUGGGAGAAAACCUCUACUUUCUAAUCUCUGACUGGUUCUUUCAACUUAACAAGACUGGGAUCUCUAUCCUGCUUUUCCUUUAUCUCAGAAACUAGAGAUAAUUCUGAACUAUUCUGCACCUACAUACUACCCUCUUCUAAAUCAACUAAGUGGAUACCUAGUCGGUAAAGCUGAUGAACUUCCUAAACUAACUUCUUUUUACAAUUCUCAACAUGAACAACACUACCCAUAAAUAAACUACUGAGAGCAUCUUCCACUAUAUUGGCCUAGCCAAGAUGAUACAAAACACUCAUGUCAUAAUCUUUCAACAAUUCUAACCAUUUCUCUGACGAAAAUUCAAAUCUUUCUACGAGAACACAUUCUGUAGGAUUUUGUGAUUCAUGAACAUAUCAAUAUGCACCCUAUACAAAUAGUGCCUCCAAGUAUUUAAGGCAAACACUGCAACUACUAACUCAACACUAUAGGUCAGUCAAGAUGGUCAAUUAACCACAACCGCUGAAUUUAAUCGUAGUCACAUAGCUGUAGCCGCAGCUAGACUUGCACGAUUGUGGUGUGGUAAAAAUGUUCAGCCUAAGGGGAAAACUGUAAUUGUACGUGCUGAUUCCAAUUUUUAGAAAAGACUUAAACCCUAAUUCCAUGUAUCAUUCAUUCCACCACAUCCCUUCUUCCCUAAUUUUCUAGGUUUUGGCUUGAGACUUUGUAGCCUCUGUUUUUAGGGAAGAAAAUAUUGUGCAAACUUUGGGUGAAGAACACAUUAGAGAGUUUUUAAGUGGAAGAUUUUCUCACUUUCAUUAUUGAUAUUGUUGGAGAGACAAGUUUGAAUUAAUAUUCUCUUAGAUCUUCUAACAACUUUAAUUCAAAGGUGAUUAGAGGUAUAUCUAUGCCUGUUUAUCUUAUGUGUAGCUAAAUCUCCCUCUUGGGGUUAUGUGUGAAUAGGGGUUAAAAUAUGUCUAGACUGCUAUUGUUAGCAUCCAUUGGGUAGUUCAUGUUUAUGGGUUCUAUUAUUGCUAUGCUAUUUUGAUUGGGAUUUGAUGGGUGGAAGCCCCAAAUACCCACAUGGGUUUGAUGAGUGAAAGAUCCAAGCUCUUAAAAGUUUAAUGCCAUUUUUGAAAGAAGGCUUUUGGGUGAGCUUUAGGAAUCUAUAUCAUCAUCGAAAGAGGAAUAUGGGGACCAAAGCAAUGAUAGACAAUUAUGUGUGUAGUUUGCCAAAUUUUUUACUAUCUUAGAUAUAAGGGUUAAUGUGAGGUUAACUAUACUAUGGGUGUCAUCCUAGAAAUAGGGAUGCCUUGAUUGAGAUUGUGGUUGCUAAUUAUUGAACACACCCAUUAGGUAUUCAAAAGGAUCAAUGGGUGAAAGUUUGGUAUUUUGUUGAAAGACUAACAUCAAAACCUAUAACCAAGCCUACCCAUAUUUGUAUUAUCGAAGUGAUGUUGAUAAUUAGUUCCCACAUGUAACCCCCUUAGUAACACAUAAUUCCAAGAUCUGUGCAUAAUUGUUAAAACUCUAAUUAUUUGAAACCCCGAAUUUAUACUAGAAAAUCCCAAAAAAAAACAUUAGUGUAGGAUCUCACCUUCCCCAUUUUAUCUUUUUAUAACAUUUGCUUGAAUUUGACUUGUAUCUAUCCUUUUGAAUUAAUUUGAUCGCUACUCACAUUGUUCCUUGUGGAUUUGACCCCAACUCCAAAGUUGGGUAAAUAUAUUUACGAUGACCGCCUCACACUUAAUUGACGUGUAAAUUGACUGUUAUUAAAAAUGGCUCCAUUGUCGGGGAACAAUUUGGCGUAUUAAGUUAGUUUGGAAUUUUAGCUUACUUUCUUAAAUUCAAGCUUGUAUAUAUGUGUUUAUGAUUUUUCUUUGUAGGUAGAUUUUAUUUUAUUUUUACUUUUCUUGAUAGAAUCUUCUAACAAAUAUGAGAUGAAUGAUUGGAAGUCAUAUUGUGACCCCCAUGUUCGUAUUGUUAUGGACCACACUUUAGGAAAGAUUGUAAGUAUGCUUCCCUGGGAGACAUUUUACCAUCUAAAUCUAUUUGGGAGUAUGGUUGUCCUAUGUGUGGCCGUUUACAAAGACAUUGGGAUGAGUUUCUAAACACCCUAUCCCCCUAUUAUAGUAAUCAAAUUUCUAGUUCUUCCUAUGAUUUUAUUAGGUCAUAUGAUGAGAAAUCGGAAUAACAAUGCACCUAGUCCAGUAGCUAUAACCCAAGGUUACUAUCCAUCUUCGAUCGGGUGGAUGCAAUGGGGGAGAAUAUGGAACAUAGGUACAAAGAAUGGACAAAUUUCAAGAAAGAGCUAUUGGUCAAAGAAGAAAAGCUUGAAACUAUCACUAGCUUUCCCACUGCUCUAGAGGAGUGUUAUCAUGAAGACAAACCAUGCUAUGAUGAUGAUCUUGGUAGCGAAGAUUCCUCAAUGACUUCCCAAUCAUCCUACUCGUAUGGAGGAGAAGAAGCCAUAAUAAAGGAAAUGAUACUAGAGUCAAAAGAAGAGGAAAAGUAAAUCUCUUAUGAUGACUCUAGCUCAUUUUGAGGUGACAAUGCUUUGGAGGAAGAUAACCCAAAGGUAGGUGUUAGACCUCAUACAACCCACUCUUCAAUAUUUGGUAUUGAGGAUGUGAUGAGGAUCCAUCCUUUCAACCAAAUGAAGGAUUGUGGGGAGGUGGAGCCUAACUUUUGCAUUUUGGAGUUUGUUAUUCUGGAGGAGCACAUGGAGCCCCGCCCAUCAAAGGACAAGAUGCUAAACUUUUGAAGUACAAGGAUUGGAUUAUUGAUGUGUUUACUCUUACCCAAGGAGCAAAUCCAAAAGAUUGAUGUGAAGUUGGGUAAAAAGUUCAAGUUUUCAAAAUGGUAAGAUCGGAUCCUUCUUAUCAUUUUACCACCCUUCUAAGUUUCAUCUUGGAAGAUUUGAAUUUUUUGUCCCUCUGUUGCUCUUUACAUAUUGAGUGAAAGUUGGGAUGAAAUUAAAUUUUCUAAUGGAGAUAUAAAGGGAAGAAGUGCAACCGUUGUGUUGCGAUGUUAAAUUAAGCGCUAGAUAGGAGGCAACCCAUUACACCGUAAAAAGUGGUCCGUAUCCUUUUAUUUACAUAUGCUAGGGUAUAUUUUGAUUUUUUUUGUUAUUUGUGUGCAUUCAUAGUUCAUAAAGUAUUAGUUAUUAGGGGCAUUUAGAUUGAAUUUAGAAAGAAAAGAUGUGUGAAUUUGGCAAAUGGACUAAGCAGGAUGCGUAGGAACCCCGAAUGCUUGGUAUUAGUUACCGUGAUCGCCGUUCAUGCCUCCGCAAUUGCAGAAACCAUGUGAAUACGAUCACGUAACUUGGACCGCAAUUGCGAUUAAUUCAGAUUAAAAAUACCACCCGAAUGACAUGCACCCAUGCACCUUGUUUCAAAUUUUCUCAUAAUUUCCCUCAAGUUUGUGGCCUCUCAAGAGUAUCCAUGGUUUCAUUUCAAACCUUCUCCAUUAGUUACCUGGUAUGUAGUCUCAAACUCCCUUACAUUCAUUGUUAAUUGUAGGUUUAGGACCUAUAGCUAGAAAUGAGUUUAAAAUAGUAUUAUAAUGCUAAAAUUGUACUUAUUUGUAAUUAUAAUUGUGGUUAGCAACUGUAGGGUGUCUAUGCGUCAUUUGGGGAAGUCUUGAGUACCCAUAUUCUAAUCUAGACUGGUUAUAAUUGACACGUAAAAUAGGUGUCCAUUCAUUGCCCAAAUGAGUUCAACAUAAAUUUUUUCAAAUUUGAGGCUGUAAUCUUGCUAUCUAGGGGUUAUUUUAUCCGUUCAUGAUAUUGUACACCUAGUUGGAAGACAUAGUUGGUGUUAAGCUCGGGUCUAUUGAGAAAUAAUAGAACUAUUAUCUAUUGCGGUCCUGAUGAUCGCGACCACAGUAGCACGGUCGUUGUAAAUGCUCUGCGAUUGACAUACCUGAGGACAGCUUCCUAGAAAAACCCAACUUUCUACACAUAUAUUUUUCACCCCAGAAUCUCCUAUAACAAUGCCACAUGUUCUUUUCUUGUUAAUCUAGUAUAUAUUUUGCUUUGAAAAUAUUAAAAAUGGUCCAAAGUAUCCUAUACACAAGUACUCAGCUAUAGAAUUAUAGACUUAGAUGAAUCUGUAGCCUUAUUUCUAGAAAGCCAUUACUAGUAUUAAAAGAACCUCCCAAGGUAUAAGCUACACCUAAAAUGGAGUAUUACUAUGGACAAAGCCCCAGUGAAGUUCCCAGAAUUCCUUGAUAGAAUUUCUGCUAUCAAGGAACAUGCUCCAAGACUACCCCAGGGGUCAGGAGAAUCCUCCACUACUUGCCAUUUAUAUGUGGCUCAGUAUGACAAUAUGAUAUAUUAGGAAGAGCUAAAGAAGCAAGGUGCUAGGGUCACCAAAUUGGAAAGAGCAUAUUCAACCCUGGAAAUAUCACACAGGACCUUCGGGAGUCACAGGAAAGGUUAUUUAAAAGGAAAAAAAAGAGAGAACAAUUCUUCACCAAGCUGUGGAGAGGGGUAAAGGGCAUCUUCAAGGUACUUAAACCCACAGAAUAUCUACCUUUAUUGAGGAACGACAUUGAUGAUGGAGCCACUGCUGAGGAGUCUGGUGCUAAUAAUGGUGGAGACGAUGUAGGGUAUACCAGAGAUGAUGAAGUUGAUUCAGGGAGCAUCCUUUACUCUUACCUUGCUAACUAGGCAGUGGGGGCACUGCCAACUUUUCAGUUGGGGGUGCCUGUCACUAUAUUUGUUAUGCUUGGAUGUCCUUGGGUAGUUUUUUUGGAUGACAUUCUGGAUAUUAUUUUUUAUUGUGUUUUGAGAUGCUAUAUUUUUGGGUAUCUGAUGGUCACCACAUUUUAUGGAUCAUCGUAUUUUUCUUUUAUUUUUAGUAUUCUUUUUAUUUAAUUUUAUUUUAAUCUUGUUGAUGAACGAUUAGCUUUACCCUAUAAUGGAUUGAGAGACAACAUUCUUAAGGGAAAAGUGUCGUGUUUGGGUAUGAGACACAGGUGCAGGGGAAUUCUGAAUACCCAUAGCAUUAAGUGUCAUUUAAUGCAAAGGAAGACUAAGUACUUGUAGCAUUAUACUUGUUAAGUUGGGAUCGGUUUACACACCACUAGAGAAGUCUGAGUAGCCAUAUGGUUAGCUCCCCCAUGAUUGAGUCUAAAUGUGAGACUAAGGCUUGGUUGUAGCCAUAGUUUAGCAAUUUGUGCACGGUGCUAUUGUAAAUCAAGAAACCCCCUCUAUCCAAAAUUUUUGAAAAAUCAAGGGCAUGGACGUGAGUAAUGUUGUAACAAAUCUUUUCUCAUUUUAUGGUUCCAAAACUUUUUGACUUAUAAAUAGUGAUAAAUACUCUGAUUAUGUCUCUCGUGGGAGGGACAUUUGAGCUCCCUUGGCAACCUUUUGCAUGCCAUGUGUGGUGAGCUACUUGAUAUUCAUCUCUUGUACAUUUGUGUUAUCUAGAACUUGCCCCAUUGGUCUUUUAAAAUUAAUUUUGAUCGUACUUGGUUGGAGAAAUGAUCUUAGGUGCUUUUUGUAAUAGGAACUCACUCUAGCCUAAAAAUCCACCCCAUACAUAAUGGAAAUCCCUUGUUACGCACUUUGACCUUUUGGACCUUUCUUUGGCAAACACAUUACAAGCCGCGAACCAUUCUUUUACCCCUAUUUUUAACCAUACCCUCCUUGAACUCAAAAAUGCAAUUUGAGGCUAAAAUCCUAAGUUAGGGUUGGUAAAGAUCGAUGAAAGUGAGUUUGGGGCCCCGAAGUAUUAGUGAAAUACCUAAUGUUCCUAAGUGUUAAAAAUCAAUGUUUAGAAAAAAUAAAGUAUCCCAUAAAAGAAUGACUUGCACAAAAAUGCAAGAAAAUAAUGGUAAAAAAAUAGUGGUGAACAAAGGAAGCAAAAUAUAGGCUUUCAAAUAAAAAGGGAAAAGAAAUAAAGAAAAGUGGUCCGUAGUAGAAAGCGAAGGGUUGUGCGCGUGUUGUAGAUGUUCAAGGUAGGGUGUAGCCAUAUUGUUCCUAAAUGAUAUCCUACCCUAAACCAACACUUUGUUACAACCUUAGAAAGUCCUUUGAGAUCUCUGCCCAUUUAUUUUCUUUGUAGUGGUGAUUGAAAAUAGGGGGCAAUCCUAUGUCAUGACACUUGUUGCAUUGAGAAUUCUUUUAUGAGGGGAGAAUUAUUGCACUUAAAAUUCCUUAUUGCUUAUUUGGUGGUUUGGUGUGCGGAGAUUCUUUUUAUUGUGAGACAACAUAUAAACAAGUUGAGGUGAGUAACUUUUGUCAACUCCUGAACAAUGAGACCAAUGGAGUAUAACUUGAUUGUAGUCAAGAGAAAGCCACCUCUAGAGUAUUAGCUUUUGUUGCUUGAUUUUUCUUUACAGACUUAUGCAUUCUUUGAGAAUUGCAUUUUAAAAGAAAGAGUGUUCUGAAAUUUGUCUAGCACAUAUGUAGUGAGCUACUUAUGGUUACGAUCCAAGUUGAAGUUAUUAUGACCUUUAAGGCAUAAAAUUUGGGCAUAAACGUUAGUGUCUCUUAGUGUAAGGUAGUGUUGCUUGAGGACAAACAAAGGCUUAAGUUGAGGGUGUUAAUGAGUGGUGAUUUUACCACUCAUUCACACUUAUUAUUAGCGCAUAUUACCUUAUUUUAAAUUAGUAAAUGAGUGAUGAGUAUGAUUAAAUGCACUAAUAUCCUCUCUUUGCAGGUGUAAGAGUUAAAAAGACAAAGAGAUAUGGAGUGGAGCUUGAAAUAAUAAAAAAAGAGCAGAAAAGUGCUGCUGAAGACCUGCAGUUUAAGAGCCUCAAUUACCACAGUUGCGGUCAAUAAAAAUGGUCAAUCAACCGCGAUCAGAGAAUUUAAUCGCGGUCGCAGAUAGACCCGCGUGAUUGCGGUAUGAAGGAAACAUUCAGCCCAAGGGCAAAACUAUAAUUGCACGUGUUGAUCCCAAUUUGAACAAAAAGACUCAAACCCUAAUUCCAUGUAUCAUUCAUUCUACCACAUCCCUUUUUCCUCAAUUUUUUAGGUUUUGGCUUGAGACUUUGUAGCCUCCAAUUUUGGGGAAGAAAAUAUUGUGUAUAUUUUGGGUGAAGAAUACAUUGGAGACUUUUUAAGUGGAAGAUUUGCUCACUUCCAUUGUUGAUAUUGUGGGAGAGCCAAGUUUUAAGUAACAUUCACUUAUAUCUUCUACAAGUUUGAUUCAAUGGAGAUUAUGGGUAUAUCUAUACUAGUUUAUCUUAUGUGUAGCUAAAUCUCCCUCUUGGGGUUAUGUGUGAAUAGUGGUUAAAAUGUGUCUGGGCUGUGAUUGUUCACAUUUAUUUGGUAGUUCAUGUUUAUGGGUUCUAUCAUUGCUAUUCUAUUUUGAUUGGAAUUUGAUGGAUGAAAGCCCUAAAUACCCACAUGGGUUUGAUGAGUGAAAUCUCUAAGCUCUAUAAAGUUCAAUGUCAUCUUCGAAAGAAGGGUUUUGGGUAAACUUUAGGAAUCUAUAUCAUCCUCAAAAGAGAAAUGUGGGGACCGAAGCAAUGAUAGACAAUUAUGUGUGUAGUUUGCCUAUCUUAGACAUAAGGGUGAAUGUGAGGUUAACUAUGCCAUGAGUGUCAUCCUAGAAAUAGAGAUGCCUUGAUUGAGGUUGUGGUUAAUAAUUAUUGAACACACCCUUUGGGUAUUUGAAAGUUUGAUGUUUUGUUGAAAGGCUAAUAUCAAAACCUAUAAGCAAGCUUACCCAUAUUUGUGUUAGUGAAGUGAUGUUUAUAAUUAGCUCCCACAUGUCACCCCCUUAGUAACGCAUAAUUCCAAGAUUCGUGCAUAAUUGUUAAAACUCUAAUUAUUCAUAGCCCCGAAUUUACACUAGAAAAUCCGAAAAAAGAAGCAUUAGUGUAGGAUCUCAUCUCCCGCAUUUUAUCUUUUUGUAACAUUUGCUUGAAUUUGACUUGUAUCUAUCAUUUUAAAUUAAUUUGAUCACCACUCACAUUUUCCUCGUGGAUUAGACCCCGAUUCUAAAGUUGGGUAAAUAUAUUGAUGACAACUGUCUUGCACUUAAUUGAUGUGUAAGUUAAGCGUUAUCACAUAGGCUAGGCAACCACAAACUCUUAGAUAUCCCAAUUUUUUCUUAUGAACUUUUCACAACUCAAAAGGCAUUAAUUUGUUCUGUUUAUGAGGCACACAAUUCAACACAUAAUAAGCAGUCAAAAGAGUCACCCCAAAAACUUAAAGAUGCACAAAACUUAACUAACAUGGCAUUAGUUCACUCAACCAAAGUUGUAUUCUUCCUUUCCACCACACUGUUAGAUGCAGAAGAAUAAGGAGAAGUAUUUACAUGAAUUAUACCCAAUGAUCAAACAAAAUAAAUGAAUUCAUGUGACUCAUAUUCACGGCCUCUAUCAUUUCUAAUUCUUACUAUUUUUCUUCCAAACUGAUUUUCAACUUCAUGGAGAAAAAGUUUAAAGUUCUCAAAAACAUCACUUUUAUUUUUCAUUAAGUAAACAUAUUUAAACUUAGAAAUAUCAUCAAUGAAAGUGGAUCAGUACUUUGAGGGUGUACUGAGUAUAUGUGGGUGAAAUGCAUAAGUAAAACAUAAUAUCAUCACUAUUUAUAAAAUCAUGCAUGCUAAAUGUAAAUGAUUCACAUAGCUUGAGUAAAUCUAAAAUCUAAAGAUCAUAAAUCAUGAAUAAUAAAGCAUAUAGUACAAAUAUUGUGAGUCAUAGAACUUAGUUCUAAAAUCUGUAUUUCUGUUCUGUCGUCAAAUCAUAUAGGCUAAGUGAAAAAAAGGGCUUACAUUUUAUGUCUGAAAACCAAAAGCUAUAAUUCUGUAACUAAAAUCUUCAAUAAAAUAAUAUCUGAUUAAGUUUGUGAGCCUUUACAUUUAGUUUCUAAAAUUUGGAAAAUAUGUUAUCUUAGGGCUUAAGAAUCUUAAACCAUAACAUCCAAAACAUAUGCUUUUAUCUUAAAACUUUAAAUCAAUAGACUGUUGAAGAGUGGGGGGCAUCUAUUUGGGAGGUUCCUCUAAUCGACAUACACCAUAUGAGCAUCCAUAGAGUCCUAUGUCUGGCCCCAAUUAGGUAGGGCUGUUCUACCCUUGCCAUCAGAAUAGAUCUUCUAAUUUGAGCGAUCACAAUCUGAGUCAUCUAUGUAGAAGUGAGAAUAAAUUUAAAUUUAUACCUAUGGUGGCACGUAGUUCUGGGAUAUGAAACCUUGGUAACAUACCCAACUCGGUGCUAAAUACUACUCCCAAUCUUAUGCUAAAAAUUUUAUGGAAUUCACUUUAAAAGUAAUCUAAUGGUUUAUAAUUAAAGUAGCUGUAAAUCUGUAGAGCUAAAUCUAUAAGUCUGAAUCUAUAAUAUGGAUUUCAUAUCUAUUCUGAGACUAAAAGGUCAAAUCUUUAUCAGUAAUCUAAUAGGAAUCUUGUCUUAAGGUGCUUGUAGCACAACAAUUCUUAAAAUAACAAUCUUUAAUUAGGGCUUAAUGACCCAUGAAUCAAUUUCAUAUGAAAACAUCUUAAAAUUCAUGCUUGAUAAUAUAAACAUUUAUAAUUCAUCAUAAAAUCAGGAAAUUUCAGCAAUAUGCAUGAAAAUAUAAACAUACUCAUGUAAUUCAACUUCUAAAUCAUUGGGAAUACAUUAAGCUUGUAAAUAACAACAAUGGGUAUAAACCAAAAUAAGUCUUUGGGCACAAGGAUGAAAUAUUUAUCCUUGUUCAAACCCUACAUACCUUAAUAGGCUUUGUUGGAUGUAGAGAAUUUGACUUUGAAACCCUAGGAGAUGAUCUUGAAAACUUUCUUGAGAUUCUUGAAUUGUGAUGCUUAAUUCUUGGUUUCUUUCUUGAAGAGGAUGACUUGAAUUUCAUGUUUUUGGGAACGUUCUUGAACUUCUUGGAUUAGAAAGCUUAGAUUCUUGCUUAUCUCAUGGAGUUUUGAAGUUCUUGGAAGAGGAUCUUAAGAAGAAACCCUAAUAUGUUCUUGAGGAUGAAGAGUUUUAAGGGUGUUUAAAAAUGAUUUAUGAUGGUUAAGUGCGUGUUUUUGAUGUUAUAGGUCAUGGGAGGUGAAGGAAAAUACAAAAAUACCCUUCCAAAAUCGUUAGGGAAUUGCUGAAUUUUAAGGGUGAUGACUUGGGAUGAUAAGUCAUCACAUAAUUGACGGCCUAUCAGCUUAGGUCGUUAUUUAUGAUCUUAAUUUGAUGGGUUUCUAGUUUGGGUUGACGAUUUGGCUAAUAAGUCGUCACAUAGUUGACCGCUUAUCAGCUCAGGUUGUCAAUUAGUUGACAGGCGGAAAUGCUAAGUAAAAUGAGUAUAACUUUUUGCUUCGAUAUCGAAUUUUGGUGAAAUUAGUAUCGUUGGAAAGCUAAUUGAAUUAUCUACAAUUUGGUAGGUCUUGAGAUGAAAAAUUCCAUGUAUAUAAAAAGUUAUACAUGUUUGAAGUAGACCUUUGUAGAAUCGAAUAUCAAAUGUUGGACGAAUCAAGGAUCUUAGCUUCACUUGGCUCUAAGUGACUUCUAUGAACAUUAUUAACCUCAAGAGCACUUCACACACUAGGAUAAAGAUCAUGAAACUUAUAUUUACAUGGGAAUCACUUGGAUUAUAAAUUAUACACGUGAGCACGAUGGUUUAUAGACUAGCCUAAAAAUACAGGGUAUUUGUAAUACCCCGAAUUGGCACCUGGAAUGCUACACGGUGCUUAUAGCCCCGAAGGAACACAAGCUAACCCUGAAUGAUAUCUGUACCUAAGCAUUGCAUAAUAGUAGUAAUAAUAUCUAAAAUAUGGAAACAUAAACUAAAAGGCCAUAAGGUUCAAUACUGAUACAUACUGAAACAUAAUAGCUGAUAAAACAAUGUUUAAACAGGUGUAGAAGUACCAAAUAUUGAAAUAACUGUCUGAAAACAUCUAGUCUGAAAUCUAGUUUGAAAGCCUCUAACUGAUUGAAUAAGGAUUUUAUGGGACAUAUACCUAACUAACUCCAUAUACUGCAAUAGCUAAGUACUGAAAGAAAAUGAAAUUAUCAAAUAACAACAUCCUUGAAGGAUGAGGACUCAUUGCUGACUCAGACUGCUGAAAGUUGGAAUGCUACUGAUGCUCUGGAGCUCGUGCUUCUAAACCUAUGGUAAUAAAACACCAUAUCACGAAUGCAUCAGUAGAUUGAAUAUACUGGUAUGCAAGUGAGGUAGGCUAAAUGCAAAGGGUUCAUAUGCAUGCAAAAUUCUAACUGACUGUAUAGCAUGAACGUGAGAAUACAUGUAUGAAUACAUUACUGUAACUGAAUUCAUGAUAGUGUUGAGUACUGAGUUUUGACUACUGAGUCUACUAAUACAUGGAUUUAUUGAUAUCUAAAUUUACUAAUACCGGAGUACUGAGUAACUGAGUAUACUGAAUAUUGAGGGACUUAUGUUAUCUUACUGAUAAAAGAAUGACUAUUUCUAACAGUUUUAAUUAUGAAGAACUGGUCUGAUUGACUGUAUCUGACAGUCCUGAACUGAAUACUAAUAACAUGAGUUACUGAUAGCUGAUAUAGCUGAUACUGAGUGACUCUAUCUGACAAUCUAGGUUCUGAUAAAACUAUCUGAGUUUUGUACAGUACUAAGUUGACUGUAUCUAACAGUCCUGAAUCUAUAUAACUUAGCUGAGUUCUAUUACUGAGAUUGAAUCUGAAACUUAGACUAUGGGAGGUAAUCAUCUAACCGACAUGCAUCACACUAAGAUAAUUGGGGUCCAACCUAUAACCCAAUUGGAAGGGAGUCAGUACCGCACCAUAGGUAAACAAAACUGCUGUGGAGUCAGUCCUAACUAAUAGGUGAACCCUCAGAUCAUUCCUAUCUAGCGGGUGAUCUCUGAGUAUGCCAGUCCUAUCUAACGGGUGACAUAUCAUGCCUAUUAUGGCUACGUAGUUUUAGAGAUUAGGGGUUGCUUCUAGGGACCCAAUCCUAACUAAUGGGUAUGCCCCAAUCCCUAGGAUCGCUCGGUUCUAAAUCCUACUCCCAACUGAAACUAAACUAAUUUCUUAGUUCAUACUAGGCUUGACUGAACUAUUACUGACCGUACUAUUUAGCUGAACUGAACUGAGUCUGUUGACUGGCAGAAUACUGAUUGAUUACUAUUGAGAUUACUAAAUUACUGAGCUUUCUAAGAUUUCUUAGAUUACUGAGUUUACUGAGUUUUCCUAAGUUACCUGACUGACUGAGUUCUAUGGAGCAUGGUUUGACUGAGAGUAUCUUGAAAACAUAACACUGGCUCUAGGCAUACAACUGUAUUUUUUGAUAAUAAGUACCCCAGGACUCGAUACAAGGAAACUAACAAAGACAUGACACUUCUUGAAUACAUGACCAAUAUCAACAAUUCAUAUUACAAUAGUUGGGGAUUUCAUGAAGCAUAUGGUUAUCAUAAUAUUAUUCAUGAAUGGAAAGGGCAUAUAAAUACAUCAUACUUUCAUCAACCUAAUCUCAUGAACAUUCCAUCAAACAUUCAUAAUGCAAACAAUAUCAUGGAAGCCAUUCUUGGUCAUAGGGUAAAACAUGCAUUAAUCACUUGGGUCAUAAUUAAGGUAUAAUGCAUAAUUUCUAUUCUCUUAGGCAUUUUAUCAAACACCUAGGAUUCAUGAAUUAGGGCAUAGGCAUAAUCAUCAAGUUGACACAUUAUAAACAACUAAAUUCAUGGAUUCAAACUCACUUACUAACGUAGUUUCAUGAAAAACACAUAAGGAUUCCAACUUGGGAAUCAUACAACAAUAUUAUCAUGAUUUCAAUCAACCCACAACAUAAACAUUGCAAUUUAUAGUUUAAAAGAAGAUUCUUGAGCUUCAUGGAUAAAAAGAAUCUAUGAAUGAACACUAUGCAUACCUUAGUUCUUUAUUCUAAAAAGAUUGACGAAGAAAUUCUUGAAUUUGAGUCUUGAAUUUGGAUCCUCAAUUGGAAACCCUAAGUUUGUUCUUAAGGGAUUUUAAGAUAAACAAUAAUAUUUUGGUGAAAUAAGGGCUGGAAAUUGACCCUCUUGCCCUUUAAAAUACGGAGCUGGAAUGCUGAAAAAUUUGGGAGCAUGCUAUGGAGCGUGCAUCGCAUGCUCCAGUACACCUAAAUGGAGCGUGCAUCAUAUGCUCUAUCGCACCCCCAGGGGUGAACUGGAGCAUGCAUCUCAUGCUCUAGUGCGUCGGGAUGGAGCAUGCAUUGCAUGCUCUAGUGCACCCCUCAGGGGUGAACUGCAGUGUGCGCCAUACGCUAAUCGCAAGGUGCUACUAUUCUAAAAUUCAAACAUGCCCUAAACAGGUUCCUAAAAUUCCAAAAAUCACCCAAUAUGUACUAUUGACUUGGCCCAUCAUAACACAACUUGAAAAUUGAAAAAUCAGAGGUCGAGAAGGUUGUUAAAUAAAUCUCCAAAGUUCAGAGGCUUAAAAUGAAACUAAGUCUUUAACACUUUGCUAAAUUUUCUAAGUGUUGGACCUGUUGAAGAGCUUUAAGGAACAUAAUUUGACUUAGACUUUUAUGGGGCCUUACAAUAUCUCCCCCUUGGGAACAUUCAUCCUCGAAUGAGAUUGACUGAAAAGGGAGAGACGAUAAACUAAAGUACGUACAAGACACACACUACUAAAGUAUGAUUUCAUGAUUCACAUGACUGAUAAGCUAAAUAUAUAUACAUAUCUCACACUGAACAUGCAUAUCUAAUGCAUGAUUAGCUGAUCCAUGAUUGCAUGACAGAGUGUUCUGAUGAACUGAGUUUAUUAUAAUGAGAAUGCAUAUCUCAUGCAUGACUGAUAAGUUGAAUUCAUACAUAUCUGAUGCAUGAUUAUAUGACUGAAAUGAUACAUGAAUACAUGACUGAAUACACAAUGGUACUUAGUACCAAGUUUGUAAUAGAAUUCUGUGACAUGGAAUUGAGUAAGUUCAGGAAAAAUUAUUACCUUAAACUGAAAAUAUUGAUGAGCCUAGGAUUAAUUACUAGAUAUGCUUAAGCGGAAACAUAAAAAUGUGACUGAGACUGAAACAUGAUGCAUGAACUAAAUUUCAUGAACUGAACUGAGUCUUGUAUACAUGGCGUACGAUUGAGGUUGGAGCUUGAGAGUCAACUUAUGGGUACCUCUACUCCAACCUGGAUUUAUUACGUGAAGAGAGAACAUGAUGCUUGCAUUAUGAAAGUUUGGGGGAUUAUAUCGUAUCUUCCCCUUGGGACACUAGGUCCCUCAAAGAAUACAAACUUGGAUGAGCUACUGAGGAAAACUGAGGGGAUACACAAGGCAUCUAGGAACUGAAUCAUGAAUGAUUAUCUGAGAUCUAAAACUGAGGCAUGAUACAUGAACUGAGCUGAUCUUGUAUCUACCUGAUUGGUUCAUCUUAGAAUGGUUAUAUUCUUUCAUGAGAUUUUGACUAGUGCAAAUAGAUGGAAAGAUAGGAAACCAAACUAUACGAACUUAUCUGUCUGACUGCUAGAUUGAAGUACUAACUAUUUAAACUAAUUGCCUACUGACUAACUCAUCUUAUCUGCUGAUCGAUUAAUGGUUGAGUACUGGGUAUGUAGGACUUAACGGUACUUAGUAUGAAUAGUUAGACUAAGAAUAUGGAGUUUCUAUAAACAUAAAAAGAGACUGACUGAGUAAUAUGAGAUAGCUAAGCAUGAAUUUGUGAAAUAUUUUAUUAUCUAAGAAUGCUAGAUAAGGCGAAUAACAUGAUUCGAAAACAUUCCGUAAGCUGAGGUACUGAAACACUGAUGACAUGCAUAACUGAUAACUACACGCUAUGGUUAAGAAAACCUGAAAUUGGACUAUGGUACUGAUCUGAUUUCUGAGCUGACGCUGAGGUUGACACCAUAUCUAGUACUAUAGUAGAGACUGUAACUGUCUGUAAUUGAGACUCAUACAAGGACUGAAUACUAGUAACUAAGGCAGAUACUGAUACUAAAGUACUUAAUUCUAAUGGAUAAGUAACUGAUAACAGAUAACCAUGGUCCUAUAGGACUAUAUGAGUCUUUUACAGAGUAUUAAUUACUAAACUGAUGCUGUAACUAAGGCUUAUGCUUACUGGCCUGUUACUAAAACAUCUCAUAGCCUCCUGUAUAUAAAUAUGGUGCACAACACACCCAUGCACAAGACUCUACGAGAUGUGCCUUUUCAGUUUUCCUAGGAUACUGUUGAACCUUAGGCUCUAAUACCAAGUUUAUAACACCCCAAAUCUGGCACUUGAAAUGUUACAUGGUGCUUAUGACCCCAAAGGACUACAAGCUAACCCAUGAUUGAUAUCUGUACCCGAGCACUGUAUAAUAGUAGUAAUAAUAUCUAAAAUAUGGAAACAUGAACUGAAAGGCCAUAAGGUUCAAUAUUGAAACAUACUGGAACAUAAUAGCUAAUAAAACAAUGUUUAAAUAGGGUGUAGAAGUACCCAAAAUUGAAAUAACUGUUUGAAAGCAUCUAGUCUGAAAGCAUAUAACUGAUUGAAUAAGGAGUUGAUGGGACAUGUCCCCAACUAACUCCAUAUACUACAAUAUCUAACUACUGAAAGAAAAUAAAAUAAUCAAAUAAAAACAUCCUUGAAGGAUGAGGACUCACUGCUGAAUCGAACUACUGAAAGUUGGAAUGCUACUGAAUAUUUGGAGCUCGUGCUUCUAAAUCUAUGGUAAUAAAACACCAUAGCGUGAAUGCAUCAGUAUGAUUGAAUAUACUGAUAUAAAAGUGAGGUAGGCUAAAUACAAAAGGUUCAUAUGCAUGAACAAUUCUAACUGACUGUAUAGCAUGAAUGUGAGAACACAUGCAUAAAUACGUAACUUUAACUGAAUUCAUGAUAGUUUUGAGUACUGAGUUCUGACUAUUGAGUCUACUAAUACAUGGAUUUAUUGAUAUCUGAAUUUACUAAUACUGAAGUAUUGAGUAACUGAGUAUAUUGAAUACUGAGGGACUGAUGUUAUCUUACUGAUAAAGGAAUGACUAUUUCUGACAGUUUUGAUUAUAAAGAACUGGUUUGAUUGACUGUAUCUGACAGUCCUAAAACUAAAUACUAAUAACAUGAGUUACUGAUAGCUAAUAUAACUGAUACUAAGCGACUUUAUCAGACUGUAAUGCCCUGAUUUUUCGAACCAGAAUGUCACAUGAUGCUCAUGACCCUGAAGGACCACAAGCUAACCCAUAAAUGAUAUUUGUACCUGUACACUGCAUAAUAUAUGAAUAUGAAUGUGGAAAUAAAGACUGAAAGACCAUAAGGUUCAAAUCUGAUAAAAACAUAACAUCUGAGUGGGGUAUGAAAUACCCCAAACAACUAAAAUACUGCUUGAACAUACUGUAGACCAAAGGCCUCUAAAACUGACAAUCUGAAUAAGGAGUUGAUGGGACAUGUCCCCAACUAGAUCCAUCUACUAAAAUAAAUAAGUACAAAAAAAAUAAAGUAAUCAUCAUAUCGUCCUCGAAUGAAGAGGACUCACUACCACUCUGAAUACUAAAAUGCUACUACUGAUCAGGGGCUCGUGUUUUUUAACCUAUGGUGUAAAAUAAAAAAAACACCAUAGCGCAAAUGCAUCAGUAUGUUUGAAUAUACUGAGCAUGCAAGUGAGGUAGGCUAAAUGCAUGGGGUUCAUAUGCAUGAACAAUAAUAACGAAUUUACUAACAUGAACAUAAGAGUACAUGCAUGCAUACAUAAUUAUAACUGAUAUCAUGAUAGGACUGAAUACUUAGUUAUGACUACUGAGUUUACUGAUAUUGACAUCUGAUUUACUGAUGAGUGAGGAACUGGUACUGUAUUAUGGAAUACUGAGGGACUGAUACUAUGUUAUUGAUACAUGAAUAACUAUGUCUGACAGUUUUGAUUAUGAAGAACUGGUCUGAUUGACUGUAUCUGACAGUCCUGAAGCUGAAUACUGAUAACAUAAGUUUGGAUAACUGAUAUGACUGAUAACAUAAGUGACUUUAUUUGACAGUCCCAAAUCUAGUGGAACUAGAUGAGCUCCGUACUAUUUCUGAGUUGACUGUAUCUGACAGUCCUAAAAUCUAAAGAAAUAUUUGAGUUCUUUUAUUGAGACUGAGACUAAAAAUGAGACUGUGGGAAGUAGUCAUCUAACUGACAUGCCCCAUAUAUGAUAUUCUAGCUGAGCUGGGGUCCAAUUUCUUCCCUGACUAGAAGAGUUUCAAUAUCGCGCCACUGGUAAAGACAAGCUAUGGGUAACUCUCAUCUGAUAGUAUCUCCAAAAGAGAAUGGUGGGGCCCUCAUCUGAUAGUUCUUAUCCACAUCAUAAACCCUCAUCUGACAGUGUUGAUGUCUCAGCCUAUGCUAGCUACAUAGUUUUGGAACGGAAGGAUGACUGCUAAGAAUCACACCCUCAUCUGACAGUGUGUGUCCCCAUCCUUGGGUUUACUCGUUGCUAAUUUUUCCUCCCAUCUGAAUGGACUCUGAACGUGAUUAAUUGAACUGUAUAUGGACUGAUCUUACUAAAUUCUGCUGACUGAUAAAAUGCUACUGAUAUCUGAUAACUGACUGAGUUCAUGAGAUUACUGAUCUUACUGAGUACUGAGUUCAUGAGAUUUCUGAGAGUACUAAAUUACAGAUAUUAUUGAAGUCACUGAGUACUGAGAUUACUAAAUUUAACUGAGAUUAACUGCGAUUUUUGAGCUUUCCUAAGUCACAUGACUGACUUAAUUCUAUAUAUCAUGGCUUGACUGAGAGUAUCGUGAUAACAUGACGUGGCUCUAGGCAUACAACUAUAUUUUUUGAGUACAAGUACCCCCAGGACUCAUGACUUUCUUGAAUACAUGACCACCAAUAAUAAUCCAUAAUACAUGAGUGAGGGAUUUCAUGAAGUACAUGAUCAUUAUAAUAUCUAACAUGAAUGGAAAUUCUUGAAAUUAAGUCAUAAACCUCAUGCUCUACUAUCAUGGGCAUUCCGACAACAUAUAUUUUUCAUAAUGAUAGAAUGGAAACCGUUUAAACAUAAGGGAAUGGCAAGCAUGUAACACUUAGUUCAUAUUGUAAUAAUUGGGGGAUAACUCAUGUGGUACUUCAUAAUCAUGAUCUUGUACAUAACAUGGAGUGCAUAUAGACACACUAUGAAUCCAUUCUCCAAUCAUCAUGUACAUUCCAUUAACAUAUAUAUUGCACAACAACAUCAUGUGAGCCAUUUGAACAUAAUAGACUAGCAUGAAUUUAUCAUAUAGUUCAUCCCUUAGCCAUAUACAUGAUUUCUAUCAUUCUAGUCAUUUUAUCAAACACAUUACAUGCACACUUUAUGGCAUAGGCAUAUUCAUCUCAUUAAUGAUUCAAACCACCCAAAAUUCAUAUAUUUCAAUUUACAUGUCAUCCUAGUUUCAUAAAAUCACAUAAAGAUUCUAACUUGGGAGUUGUAUAACAAUCAAUCACACAAACAUAAUCAAACCACAACAUAACUUCAUGAUUCAUAAUUUAAAAGAGGGUUCUUGAACUCCACGGAUGAAAGAAAUCCGUGGAUGAACACUACGCAUACAUUAGACGAAAGAUUCUUAAUGAUUGACGGAGAUAUUUUCUUGAAAUUGGAUCUUUUAUGAAAACCCUAGCUUGUAUUCUUGAGAGUUUUUGAGAGAAACUAUUAAUAUUUGGGUGAAGAUAUGAGGAACCUCGUGUUAAAGGGUAUAUAUAAGGGUUGGAAGGUUACAAUUUUGCCCUUGGAAAUACGGACUGGAUUGCUGAAAAUUGGCCCAAGGCUAUAGCCUGGGUGGUGCCCUGCCUAGCCCAUGGGAGAACCCUGGGCGGCGCCUAGCUACAGCGGUGCUGUAACCAGGGCAGCGCCUUUGCUGCAGUGGUGCUGAAAGCUGGGCAUCACAGGAUAAACACCUUUUGCUACUGGUUUGGCACACCAAACGUGCCCUUACGCUACUCUGAAAAUUCCAAAACUCACCCGAGAUGUACUACGACCUUUCCCUAUCACAAAGCAACCCGAAAAUCUAAAAACGGAGGUCAGGAAGGUCAUCAAAUAAAUUCCCAAAGUUUGGAGGUCUAAAAUGAGCCUAAGUGUUGAACAAUUAGAAAAUUUUUUCUAAGUCUUGGAGAUUGUGAAGCCUAACGAGCUGAAUUUUAGACUUAGGAUUUUACGGGGUAUUACACUGACAGUCUAGGUUCUGAUGGACUAGCUGAGUUUCGUACUGUACUAAGUUGAUUGUAUCUGACAGUCCUAAAUCUAUAUAACUGAGCUGAGUAGUACUACUGAGACUAAAUCUAAAGCUGAGACUAUGGGAGGUAAUCAUCUAUUCGACAUAAUCCAUACUAAAAUAAUUGUGGUUCAACCUGUAACCCCAGUUGGAAGGGUGUUAGAACCGUGAUACGGGUAAAGAUAACUAUUGUGGAGUUAGCCCUAACUAAUGGGUUACCUCUGAGAUCAGUCCUAUCUAGCGGGUGAUCUCUGAAUAUGCCAGUCCUAUUUAAUGGGUCACAUCUUAUGCCUAUGCUGGCUAUGUAGUUCUGGAGCAUAGGGGUUGCUUCUAGGGACCCAGUCCUAACUAAUAGGUGGGCCCCCAUCCCUAGGCACGCUCGGUGCUGAAUCCUACUUCCAACUGAAAGACACUGAGCUGAUUUUCUAGUUCAUACUAGGCUUGACUAAACUGUUACUGAUCGUACUGUUUAGCUAAACUAAAUCGAGUUCGCUGAGUAUCAAAAUACUGAUUGAUUACUACUGAGAUUACUGAAUUACUGAGCUUUCUACAAUUUCUGAGAUUACUGAGUUUAUUGAGGUUUCCUGAGUCACCCGACUGACUGAGUUCUAUGGAGCAUGGCUUGACUGAGAGUAUCUUGAAAACAUGACACUGGAUCUAGGCACAUAACUAUAUUAUUUAGGUACAAGUACCCCCGGGACUCGAUAGAAGGAAACUAACAUAGACAUGACACUUCUUGAAUACAUGACCAACAUAAAUAAUUCAUACAACAAUAGUUGGGGAUUUCAUAAAGCACAUGGUUAUCAUAAUAUUAUUCAUGAAUGGAAAGGGCAUAUAAAUACGUCAUACUUUCAUCAACCUAAUCUCAUGAAAAUUCCAUCAAACAUUCAUAAUGCACAUAAUAUCAUGGAAGUCAUUCUUGGUCAUAGGGUAAAGCAUGCAUUUAUCACUUGGGUCACAAUUAAGCUAAAAUGCAUAAUUUCUAUUCUCUUAGGCAUUUUAUCAAACACCUAGGAUGCAUGGCUUAGGGCAUAGACAUAAUCAUCAAGUUUACAUAUUAUAAACAACUCAAUUCAUGGACUCAAACUCACUAAUGUAGUUUAAUGAAAACACAUAAAGAUUCCAACUUGGGAAUCAUACAACAAUAUUAUCAUGAUUUCAAUCAAUCCAAAACAUAAACAUUGCAAUUUAUAAUUUAAAAGAAGAUUCUUGAUCUUCAUGGAUGAAAGGAAUCCAUGAAUGAAUACUAUGCAUACCUUAGUUCUUGAUUCUAAAAAGAUUGACGGAGAUAUUCUUGAAUUUGAGUUUUGAAUUUGGAUCCUCAAUUGAAAACCCUAAGCUUGUUCUUGAGGGAUUUUGAGAGAAACAACUAUAUUUUGGUGAAAUAAAGGCUAAAUCCUGUGUUAUAGGCUUAUAUAGGGGUGAGAAAUUGAUGCUCUUUCCCNNNNNNNNNNNNNNNNNNNNNNNNNNNNNNNNNNNNNNUGUACAUCGCAUGCUCCAGUGCACCAGAAUAGAGUGUGCGUCGCAUGCUCUAUCGCACCCCAGGGGUGGAAUGGAAUGUGCGUCACAUAGUCUAAUGCACCGGGAUAGAGCGAGCAUUGUAAGAUCUACUUCACCCCCCUGGGGUGUACUAGAGUGUGCGUCGCACACUAAUCGCAAGGUGCUACUGUUUUGAAAUCCAAACAUGCCCUAAACGGGUUCCAAAAAUUCCAAAACUCACCCAAUAUGUACUAUUAAUUUUCCCUAUCGUAAUUCAACUUAAAAAUUAAAAAAUGAAGGUCAUAAAGGUUUUCAAAUAAAUUCCCGAGGUUCAGAGGCGUAAAAUGAGACUAAGUCUUAAACACUUUGCUAAAUUUUCUAAAUGUUGGAGCUUUUGAAAAGCUUUAAGAAAUUUAAUUUGACUUCGACUUUUAUGGGGUAUUACAAUUACAUACAUCUUGGAUCCUUGCCUCUUCUUUCAUGCAGAUUCUCAUUAUCAAAGUCUCAAGUGAAGUUUUUUUUUU
rnacentral:lncRNA from 1 species